GAAAUUAACUAAAUCUCUUGAAAUAGGAACAUAAACCAAUUUGCAAAGUUGAUGAUCAUGAAAAACCAUGGUGGUCAUUGGGAAGAGCUCCAAAUUCCUUCAAGGUACAUUGUUGUCUAUAUUAUAACUGAGUUGAGCUUGCUUGAUCUUGGAUUCAUGCCAAGUUCUGUAUUUGAUCCAGUUGCUAAUUAAUUUUCCGGUUCCUAUAAGAAAAAUUUCCAUGCCACCCAUGUCCAACGUCACUUUUCUCCUUAAAAAUUUCCAUGCACUACUUGUACCGUGUUCCCUCGUUUUCAUUUUGCAUGGGUGUGAACUUCGUUCUCAUGAGUCUGUGUUGCGCUCUACUGCAAAAGGGCAACAUCUCUUGCACAAGGAUUAAAUUGAUUUAAUAUUUUGUUUCUCGUCUCUGUGGUACUUGAUGCUUGAUUUUAUUUCACAAAUAAUGUACAGUUAUUCUUUAUUAACUUCUGCGUUUCAAUUUUCAGCAUCAAGUCAAUUGUGUGCCUCAAUUUGCCUAGCUUUUCUGGUGGAUUUAAUCCUUGGGGAAUGCCAAGUAGGAGGAGGCAUAAUGUUGGUUCACGACAUCACCUAGUGAAUUGGAUCCAAAUUUCUUUUCUUAUUAUGUCUAACAAAUUCUUUGGUGGAUUUGACUUUUCAGGGAGAGUUUACUCCACCAUAUGUAGACGAUGGCCUCAUUGAGGUCGUUGGUUUCAGAGAUGCUUGGCAUGGGCUUGUUUUGCUUGCGCCAAAGGGACAUGGGACUCGUCUUACCCAGGUAAUAAAUAUGAAAUGGUUUUGUUACAUAAUUUGCAGCAAUGAAUCUUGAUCAAGCUGAAAUUAUGUUCAUAAUUGGCUUAUUUUAUGCUAAUCUUAUCGAUGAUAGGCCCACCGGAUCCGCUUUCUGUUUCACAAGGGUGCAAUCGAUCAUACGUACAUGAGGAUUGAUGGUGAGCCCUGGAAGCAACCCCUCCCAGUUGAUGAUGAAACUGUCAUGGUGGAAAUCUCUCACCUUCGCCAGGUGAACAUUCUUGCCACACACGGCUGCAGGUCGAAAAGCAUUAACAAUCCUGUGUCACCGAGCAGCCAUGGAGCUGAUGAAGAGGAUUCGGAUGAAGAAGCUCAUGAAUCAGCAGAGUAUAGGAAGUUUGGUGCAGCAGACACAUUUAAGCUCCCGGAAGAAAUUGAUAUUUCUCAGCUUAGCUAAACCACUUAUUAAGUCAUUCCUUUUCUGUCCAAUCCUAACUCCCUUGUGAACGAGUGAGAUUUCUAUUGGGAUUUCAUUGCCAUCUUAGCUUAGUACCAUUUCCAGCAGUCAACCAUGAAAUAUCUUUUUAUUUCUUUGUGAAGAAUUGUUAUCUAGUUGUAUAUUAUUGAUUUAUGUGAAUGAAAUAAAUGCAAAUAAUUCUUCUCAAAUUCGUUGGAUCCCAUCAAGUCCUGGCAGAACAAGGGUACAAGCAUUGAAGUAAAAGAAACUCAAUGAACCAGGAAGAUGAAAUCUUUAUGAUAGGAGGCUCAAUCAUAUGUAUACACAGUGCAUAAAAAUCGUGAUUACUUGUAAGGUCAAGCUUAGGCAAUGGAGGCAAGAGUGAUGCUAUGGAAGCACUCGAUUAGGGUGAGAGAGAGAGAGAGAGAGACUAGCACUUAGCUUUACUGUGGAGAACCCGAUUCAAAUAUUGCAAAUCGAGAAUUGUAGUUACAAGCUAUAAUACAAUUUUUUUUUUUUUAAACAAAAGGUAAUAAUAAAAAGUAAAUAUGUAGACAUGUGGGAACAUAGGCUGUUGCUGGAGCACCACUGCAAGCAAUACACUAACUGCAAACCUACAAGUCGGUGGAAAGGUACAUGCCUAAGUGUAAAAACUCCAACUCUACCUCAAAGAUUUGGGGAUCUGCAGCUUCGCGGAGAGUGACCAGCUUUGAAGGAGGCAUCACUCCGACUACUGGCGAACAUAUUGGUAGUCUCCCAUUCAUUUUGUAACUGCUUCAUUGGCCUUCUGAUUUUCAACCCUUUCUUCUCUUUUCUUCUUCUCCCUGAAAGCCACAAUCAUUGCAUUGAAAUACUAUGGUUACCCAUUGGAACACAGUAAGCACAAAAGCUUCUCCGUCCUUAAUGAAUCAUAAGCCAAAACCCAUAAAUUAUUACAGAUAAUCGAACUAAAGCUAUGGAUUUUAACUUUAUAAGGUCUAGUGGAUUAACUGGUUAAAUAUUUUAGCUUCAAUUGUGGAUGUCAUGUGAAUUGUGAUCAGGUAGAGACAACUAGUACCAGAGCGACAGGUGUACACUUGAGGAUUAUUAUCAUGUCCAUCUUAUCUAUCAUAUAUAAUAUACUAUGAAUUCAAUAACGGACAUGAUGCUGAGGGAGAUGUUACCUGGCCACAUAUUCCUUUAGAAGUUCUUUUGCCUGAACCAGCUUGGAAAGCAGAUUGCGGUACACAUCAAGGUCCCGGUCCACACUUCUUUUGUCAAUGUUUAAGGCUGCACAUAACUGUUGGACAACCAAAAAUGCUCAAACAUUGCUCUCUCUCUCUCACCAACCAUUAAAUAUGGUCUCCAGUUAAAAAUUACAAACAACUCUUCAAAAGUCAGCAGAGCCCAUUAGGCCCAGGAAAAAUGUAUAUAGUAAGUAAAUCUAUCGGCUCAAGUUGAUCAUGCAAGGUAAUUCAAUCAUUUGAUGUAACGGUCAUUAACUCAACCAAGCACAAAAUGCAGUAAUUUUAACAUUUGGCUGAACACCUAUCAUUGAGUUGUAAUGUUGAUGCAUAGGACUGGCAAGUCUAACCUUUUCUAAUAUUGUUGGUUCAGUUGCAUUGGCCAAUUCGAGAAGACGAAAGAGCCCAACAGCAAAGAAACGACUGUAGCUAAAACUUCCUUUGCUUGCUGCCCUUUCUGCAAUGUCCUUCAAUGUCCCCUCAAUUUCUCCUUCUCUGGAUGGGAACUCAACUAAUGAACUGGAAGUUUGUGCCCGAGCCCACUCUUCCAACUUUUGUGCAUCAAUUCUGUAGUGCUUAGCAUGGAAACUUAUCUAGUAAAGGUAGAGACUUUUCUCAAAUAUAUAAGAAAGAGAUUGAUUACAUGCAAAAAUAAAAACUCAAAUGCACAUGACACUCCCACUGGAAAAAAAAUGCAGUAGAAGUUUUGACAGUGAACAGAUUAAGAAUUGUUUCCCACAAAAAUUACUCUUCUGAAGAGGAAGCACAAAUGAUUGGUCAUGGUCAUGGCCAGUAUGACAUAUUUGUAGUGUAAGGAGGUGUAAAUUCUUAGACUCAGUUUACAUUUGGAAAAGCAGAGGAAAGGGAAGAAACCAUUUCUGUGGUUGAUGAAUUAAAUUAAUUAAAUCACAAUUUUUUUUAAUAUAAAAAAAUUAUCUCUACUUCAUAGAUUUUUCAAGAUAAAAAAGAAAAUGAUAGAAUACUUAACAAAUUAGGAUUCCUUUUUUCUUUUUUUCUCAAGUAUCCUAUGACCAGUGGUUUUCCCUUUAUUUUUCCAAUAUCAAAACUGAUCCUUCAAUGCAUGUGUCUCAGAUUAUUUUAUCAACCAAUCUUCUGGCAUAAACUAGGAAAUUCUGAUGUAGCAUUAUGCAGUUUGCAUGAUUCAGAUAUCUUCUUAAUAGGAUUUUCUUGGUUAUAAAAAAAAGGAAUACUUAAAUGCAAUAUCACAAUCUCAAUUAGUAGCUUACAUGUUCACUUAGUUUUCAUAAUUUUGAAACCUCAGAUAAUGCGAUUGUCAGUUUGCCACAGUUUACAUACCACAUUUCUUCGUUUCAAAAUAAAAACUUAUGCAAUGGAAAAAAACAGAGAAGAGGAAUCCCGAAGAAGAUCCCACACAAGUGACAAACCUGUAUUGCUCUGGGUCCUCAUUCAAUGCUUCGAUGUAAGCUUGGAAGAUUGCCUCUCGAUCCUCAUCGCUGGGGUAUCCAUCCAUGAGUUGAUCAAAUACAGUGACAAAACCAAGGGCGAACACGGGAUCAUACCGGUAUGACUUCUUGUACUUAAUCAAAUGCUGUUGGACAAUCAGCUCCUGCAGCACAGUGUUGUAAACACUAGGGAUUGGUCGCUUAUACGCUUUAAGAAAAUUCAACUUUGUGUCAGCUACAGUAGGCGCAUCUGCACAUCAAGUAAGCAACCACAAGAAGACCAAGAAAAUUAUGGAGAAUUUAAUUAUAAACUUCUUGUGGAAUAAAAAUUAAGAGUCUGUUGAAACAAAUUUAACCAAUAUAAACUCUGAUAAAAUUCAAGCAUAUUGGCUCAGGAACCAAAGAUGGGUCCUGAUGAAUAUGAACAUCUAGCUAGAUAAUUAGUUCAUCAAGGCUCCAUUGUUCUUAUCCCACAUGAUCAAGGCAAGAUGAUUAGAAAAAUUCUUCCUUUCCAUAUCAGUAAAAUAACUUCCUACCAUUAACAUAUAAGGAAAGGCAUAACAAAAAACAUUACAGCUAAAUUAGAUCGAACUAAAAGCUUAAUUUUACUUUAAACGAUGUUAAUUUAGUAUGCCAUAGCAGGCCAAAGAGGUAAAAAAGCAGAAAUGAACGGAAAAUUCACUAGCUCCUGCACAAAAUUAUUUAAAAUUAAGCUCCAGUCUAGUUCCUGAUAAAAUGUAGCAACGUUAAAAGAUAGCAAUUCAAUGGCAUCAAACAAAGGUACGAAGCAAAACCCACAUGACGCGCCUGACAUGCAAUGAAUCAUCAUACGAGAACUCGAACUCGAUGCUCGAACACCACCAUUAUUGCAGGAAAAGCUCGUACGGAGCCGGAGACCUUCGGAGUUGUAAGCCAAAUUCCGAGUAGAAGAUAUUACCGAUUUUCUAUCAGAACACUGACUCAGGGCAGAGAAAGAGAGAGAAGCAACGGCAGCCAUUUUUGGAAGAGAGAGUAUUAGAGUUGGAAAUUUUCCGGGAAAAUUUUAAGCAUAGUGGAGAGGAAGAGAGAAUUUGGUGGGUUUUAGGAUUUUAAUUUAUAAAAUAAUUUCGGGGAAGAGUGUGAGAGAGAUAGAGGUCCACGAAAAGGCUUAUCCAAGUGUUGUGAUCCAGUAGUUUUUUGACAAGUGGUGUUUCGUGGUGCGGUAUCUGAAAGAGAGACAUGGUGAUGGGUCGGACUGAAUUGGACCGGGCCGCCUGAUAUUUUAUUGGAUAGUCAGUUUAUUUUGUUUCUUUUCUUUUUUGAUAGAGGCCAUGGAAAGCGAUAGCCGUUUUGAUUUAGAGUAUGCGCGGUCUAGUUUGGUUUGAUUCGAUUAAUGGAUGACGCCUAUAGCCAUGGUUGUCGACAUUCAAAUGUUAAUCAUAGUUUGUGAGGAGAUUAAUUUGAAGGGGGUGAAAUAGUGUAACGUCAAUCAAAAUAAUAUCUAACAUCGUUAAUAAAUAUUGUCAAAAUUAUGGAUGUGCGAAAGUCGUUUUGAUUUAGAGUAUGCCUAAUUUGGUACGGUAUUGGUUUGAUUUAUUCUCGAACUAGUAGUAUAAUCAAUUCAUUUUGAUGAUCAAUUUGGUUUAGUUUGUUUUGAUUUCCCUUACUUAAUGAUUAAGAAAUAAUAUAUUCUUUUACUUAAAUCAAAGAAAAAUUCGUUGAAAAAAUAGUUGAGAAAACUUCUUAAGGUUGAAUAUGUAUUUAGAGAUAGAGAUAGAGUACAACAUCGAUGAGUAACAUCAAUGUGUUGGAAGAUUCAUAAUAGUGAAUGGUGACAACCAAUAAGAAAAUGCACAUUAAAAAAAUCAUAAAAACAAUAUAUGUGGUUUUAUUCGGUUUAUGCGGUUAAAAAAGGUCAACCUGAAUUAAACUGAACAAAACAGCUCAAUAUAGGUGAUUUAGUUCGGUUUAUAUGGUUUUCAAGUAAGCCAAAUCAAAUCAAAAUAAACUAAUUAUGAACAAUUUAAACUGAACAAAACUGCUCAAAUGGAUUGGCCAGUUCGAAAUCCCUACUUCGGUUGAUAAAUAGAAAUCAAAAUGGAACUAAAGAUGAAAGCAAAAUUCAACUCUUAAGAAAGAAGAAAAGGAGAAGGGCAAGUUGCAAGGAUUGUUAGGUGUCAAUCUUAUCCAAUUGUAGAGUUAAACGUGUACAGGCUAAACAUCGACUCAUGUGGAAAUAUGCCUUCUCUGCCUCCAAUGUCGAUGGAAGCAACGUGCUCUGCAUUGUUUUUUAAUUUUCUGUCUGUGACUGUGAUACUAUCUUCUUAAACAAAACAGGGAAGAUGAGAAGAAAAGCUCAGGACACCCCAAGAUCUCAAUGCUUUGAGUGAAUUGAUUUUGCCAAGUGGCAAACCCUAACAAAAGCUUUUUUUUCUUCUUCUUUUCUUUUCUAAAGGAGAUAUUACUUGAUCUUUAGCAAAUCAGGAAAGGAAAUUCACCAUUUUUUUUAUAUACAAAACCUCUAAAUCAUUCUUUUCCAGCUAUGUUGCUGCCCUGCUGCUUCUGUGUCUAUAAAUGGAAGCUGGCCUCCAAGUUGUAGCCAUAUAUUUCAUUCUUAAUUUGAGUGCAUAACACUCCAAGUGCAGAGAUCACAAAUCACUUACAAUGAUGCAAGGAACUAAUGGCCAAGCUGCUGCUUCUGCUUCUUCUCCUAAAGGCAACUACUCUGUCUCAUCUUCUACUAGGCCAACUAUAGCAGAAGUUUAUGGUGGUCUUACACCAAAAGUACUUUUCAAUAAAGCUACUGCUAACAACAGCACUACUACUAGUGAUCAAACUCAUCAAAGGCUUAAACAGCUGCAGGCAGAAGAAUCGCUUCGCACUGUCAUGUACUUGAGCUGCUGGGGUCCUAACACAUGAUGAUUCAUAGCAGACACUCUAGUAUAAAAGUAUCCUAGAUUAAUUAGUCUCUCUCCAAGAGGACUUAAGUUGUUAAUUUCUUCUAUCUUUAGUUUUAAACUCUUGAAGAACUGUGCUGUAAAAUUAACUCUUGACUAUUUUUCAUAUGAAUCAUGCACAAUAUUUUGUAUCUGUCAAGAAGAAAAUUAACUGCAGAAGUAAGUAUUUAUUUUAUUAGAUCAUCAAGCAGUGAUGUGUGGCUCUACAGCCCAAGAAGCGGGCUAGCUUUUUCCAUUACAAAACUCACAACUCUCUUUUGAAGGAAGAAAAGCUGCAUAUAGUAUAACAAGGAGGAGAUCACAUCAUGCACAGUAUAAGUAUCAUAUCGGCAUGAUUGUAGUUAGGUUCAUAAGUAUAUAGAUAUCAUGGCUAAUUAGGGCCCCAACAAAUUAGAUUCAUGACUUUCUCAACGUUUUCGGCUUUCCUUAAGCACAUCUGUCUCUCUUCCACUUCAAUCUUCUUCUUCACGGUCUCAUAGGUGGUACAAGGAAACCUUAUUUCAAAAAGCUUGUGCAGAUCAGAUUCUGGUUGGGAUUUUUCUUGAUGGCAAGGCAUGAUUGUAGUUAUCAUGGUGAUGCCUUUUUAGUUUUUAGAGCACUGCUGACUGCUUAAUGAUCCAAUUCCCCUCCUGCAUAUUUAUAUAUACACUUUUUUCUUUUUAUGUAAACAAAUCUUUAUUUUUUUAUAAAAAAAUUAGUCUAUACUUACAGCAUCUGAUUUUUACAAAUUUUGUUAACUUAUUUCGUGGCUUUUGGGUUAGCGUUAAAUGGGGUUUUGGCUAAUUAUGUGUCUCUUGAUUGGAGUAAAGGCUACUAGCUUUUAGAGUUCAAAACUAGUGAAGAUAGAUGAGUUUUGUCAAAAAUAUGGGAUCAUCAAGUGGUAAUUCAGGGUCUAAUUAAUUCAUUUUCAAGCUAAAUUAUGUAGGGGGACGAUGACGAUUGAUUCUAACAGCAAAAGGAGUGAUUUCAUCACUGCAACUUGAGUAGCCUCUCGUAUAGGACUAAAGCAGUCAUUUGAAAAUGAGCAAUAUUUGGAAAAAGAAAUAGAUGAAUGAUCAAAAUAUCCCUUCCAAAAGUUGCACAAAAAAAUCCAUAUUAAAAUAAGUGUAGAACAAAAACAAGUUGGUACGAGCAUGACACAUUCGAUAAGAUGAAACGAAUGUAGCUAGUAGCACGAAAUGGAUCGCACGUAUCAGGAGACAAAAACAAACCCUCAUCAUUCUUCAGUUUUGAAGGGGAUGAAUGGGUGAAAAGCAUGUACAAAAGGAGACAAAUAGCUGAGAUCACAAUAGUGCUAGCUCCUUCUUCCGUUACUUGCUUCAUCAAAAAACAAGAAGCAAAACCUUAGGUUUUCUCACAGAAAACCACUGCAGAAUUUGUCUUACAUACAAUACUAAUAAUCUACAAGGGACAAAUGCAGCUUCCGGAUUUCCACAAAUCUCAAAACCACUUUGUGUUUUUCUUUUGCUUUAUGUGUAUAUAUAUACAUUCAGUGUUAGGGUCCAAAGCAUAGUCCUCCAUACCUAAGAAACCAAAAAAAAAAACCCCGGAAACAGAAAAAAGCAGAGUGCUCUGCUGACUUAACUGAAGAUGUGUGCAACAAGAGGAGCUUGGAUCGCAGCGGUUAGUGUUGGAGCUGUUGAGGCUUUGCAAGAUCAAGGCUUCUGCAGAUGGAGUUACACCAUGAGGUCUUUGAUCCAGCAUGCCAAGAACAAUAUGAGAUCAUUCUUACAAGCCAAGGAACUCUCUUCUUCUUCUUCUUCUGCUAUGGUUUUGAACAAAAUGAAUUCUGAACAGAAGAACCAAGCUGAGAAUUCUCUAAGAAAAGUCAUGUACUUGAGCUGUUGGGGUCCUUAUUGAAAUCCCUCCAAUAUUAUAGGUAGUUGAGGAUGUACCACUUAGAUUUUAUUUUUGAAACUGAGUUUAAGCUGUAUAUACAUGAUUUGAAUGUAUAUUUUCCCAACCCAACAACAAGAAAAUCCCAGAUUUUGAUUUUUAUCAAUGAACAUGAACGUUGGUUCUAUUUUUCAGUCAAACAACUAACCAGUUGAAAUUAUCACAAAGCCAAAAACAAAGAACCGACUAGUUGGAAUUCAUAUCAGUUAAGUGCAACAAGAACACAAUCUCAUCCUAUUGAUCAUCGUUGACAAAAUUCAAGUACAAAAGUAAUGUAAAAAUCCAAAGGGUUCAUUUAGAUCAAAAUCUUGGAGCAUUACGUUUUUCAAAUAUAAAAUGAACACACACCAGACACGUCGAUAUUCCAUCUUAUUAGUCAUCUAAUUCGUCAACUAUAUAUGACACUUUUAUCACAAACUAACCAACUAACUCUUAAUUUAGUGAUAUUUCAUUUAAAAGAAAGAAAGAGAAUCCUCAUUAAUUUAGUAUGUUAUGUUUCUUCUUCAUCAAAUACCAAUUGAUACUCAAUCGACAUACAUCGACGUGUGACAAUCAUGUGAACUCUAACAUGAUCACUUCUCCAAUAAGAGUGAUGGAAAUUUAGAGGAAACAUUCUAGUUUUUGGGGGGCAGCAGAUGUUAGGGACACUCAUACGUCCAUCCACGUGUAAGAAUCAUGUGAGCUCCAAGGAAGUUGAGGUUCUACUCCAAACUUAAUUCGGAGGAAGUAGUCCAACUCCUUAUAAGUAGUUGCUAGAUUUCUCAUCCAUCCAAUGUAAGACAUUUUCAUUUCACAUUUUCACAAUUGCACUUGCAGUUGCACGUGAACAUUGACCAAAAAAAGAGAGUAAACUACCGGUUUCACUCCUAGACUGCUACUACUAGCCCACAGUCCAAAAUAAAGUGACAAGAGACUCUGUUUCUGUCUUUUGGUCCACACUCCAAAUCAAACAAGCAAACAAAUGGUUUCACUCCCAUACUGCGGGCCUAGAUACAAUAAUUUAAAUCAAAACCAUGUGCUCAUGAGGCAACAAAACUCGGUGCUUAUCCAAACUCCAAAAUCUUAAAUUCCACUUUUACCCCUGCCCAGUACAUCAUAUCCCCUGCAUCUGCAUGUACAAAACAGUAAUAUCCCCAAAUAUAGUGUAAACAUCCACAUACCUUACCAAAACAAACAGAAGAAAACAAAACCAGCUCUGGUUUUUUGCCACAAGCCCACCUUUUUUUAAAAAAGAAAUCCCCCAUAUAAGGAGCACCUCAAGAUAAUCUUCUCCAUCAAUACACUCAAACAUUCACAUUCACAUUCACAACUGAGAAGUUCAAAGCAUCAAAGAGAGGUCAGUAAGGAAGAGAAAAUAAAUCGUAAUCGUGAUGAGUUCAUCAAGUGCAAGCAAGGCUAUUGUGGCAGCAAGUGUUGGAGUUGUGGAGGCAUUGAAGGACCAAGGGAUAUGCAGAUGGAACUCUGCUUUAAGAUCUGUGCACCAGCAAGCCAAAACCCAACUCAGGUCAUGUUCUCAGGCCAACAACAAGCUCUCAUCUUCUUCUGCUUCAGCUGCUUUCAGUAAAGUCAGAGAUGAGAAGCUGAAGAAAUCAGAGGAGUCUUUGAGGACAGUCAUGUACUUGAGCUGCUGGGGUCCCAACUAAUUCAAUCAGCACCGAAACAAGCGCAAAAAGAUCACAUUUCUGUUGAGGCUUUGAAAGAUAAAGGCUUCUGCAGAUGGAGUUGCACCACCAUGAGGUCUGUGCACCAGCAUGCCAAGAACAAUAUGAGUUCUUUCUUACAAACCAAGGAACUCUCUUCUUCUUCUGCUAUGGUGUUGAACAAAAUGAAUUCUGAAGAGAAGAAUCAAUCAAGCUGAGUAUUCUCUAAGAAAAGUCAUGUACUUGAGCUGUUGGGGUGUUUAUUGACACAAAUUGGAGCUCAUGGUGAAGUCCCUCAAGAUUUGAAGAUUUUUGAGACUGAAUUGAAGCUGUAUACAUUAUUUGAAUGUAAAUUUUCCCAAUCAACCAAAAAAACAAGAAAAUCUAUGUUCUUUGGUUUUUAUGAAUGAACAUUGGAUCUAUUAAUUAGACAAUUCUCGACCAGGUUAACCUUAGCUUACUGUAUCAUUGGUACUUAUUUGGAAUUCUAAUUCAAUACAUGUUGGUUUUAUUAAUGGUUCCUCCUUCAAACAGAGAUGCUUUUGGUUCUAUUUUUCAGUCAAUCAACUAACCAGAUGAGGUUAUCACAAAACAAAAAACAGAGAACAAACCAGUUGAAAUUUAUCAGUUAGGGGCAACAAGAACACACAAGGUUAUCUCAUCAUAUUGAUCAUUGUUGGCAAAAUAAAAAGGCAGACGGUUCAUUUCGAUCAACCAAAACUUUAAAAACUAACUCUUAAUAUAGUGAUAUCUCACUUAGAAUGAAGAAAGAGAAUCCUCAUUAACUUUACAAAGGGUCAUGAAGCGUUUAACAAAAGGCCUUGACUAAGUGAAGAAAGAGAAUCCUCUCCAACUUUACAAUGGGUCAUGAAGCGUUUAACAAAAGGCCUUGUCAUUUUGGUCAAGGUCCACAGAGUCUUGUUCAGUGGAAAAGACAAAAGGACCUGAGUCUUGUUAAGCGGAAAAUUACCUGACUUACAGACUAAUUGUCCCAAUUUCAAACUUCUCUGAUACAGCUGACAAUGUGUGUAGGAGAACACCUCCCUCCGGCAAUAUCACUUGUAUAAAAAAGGCCUUAUGAUGUGUUCAAAUCCGACUCAUAGCUUGUGCAAGCAAGGCGAUGACAUAGGCCCCCAAAUAUUUGAGGCUCCAAUUUUUUUUCUAGCCCACUUCUAUAAGAAACCCAAAAUAUCCCUUUAUUUUAAGUUGGAUCUUUAUGCAAGCUUUGGAAUUUGAAGGCAUGAUUAUAAGAAAUUUAUAAAAUCAGGUGAAUUCCUUAUUUAAAAAAUAAAUAAAUAAAUCUAAUGUGAAUGAAUUUUGUAGUUUAAAUUAUGAUUUAUAGAUUUACCCUUAAAGUUUUCCCUUAAAAAUUCACCAUGAAUGAGAAAAUAAUGUUGUGUUGUUCAUAACUUUGUCAUUAACAUUUUUUUCUUCUCUGAGAAUAUCAUAACUAGGGUGUACUUAGGGCCAUGUUGGCAUUGCUGUGCUGUGAAAAUAAUAACUAUCAGAUUUGCUAUGAGAGAAAUCAAAUAUGAGAGAGAAAACAGUUUGGCGUUUGGUAAACUUUUUAUUAAAAAUGUUGUUGGUACUGAUUCCCAUUUAAACCAACGCUUUUUCGAAACUGAUUACAGCCUAAUCAAAAAAUGAAAGCACCUCAUUAACUGUUUUUCCUUGUAGCUUUCUUUCACUGCAAUUUUUAAUAAUAAGUGAUUUUCUCAUAGUUUACCAAACAUGCUGGGCUUUUCAAUUUUUUUUUAAAAAUCACUUAUUAUCACAAAUAAGUAAUGUCAAAUGAGCACUUAGAUAAUUUUAUAUUUUAAUUUAAAUAUUUGGGUAUAUUCAGUUAUUUUCAGAGUUUGUUUAAUAACACCCUUAAUUUAUAAUGUAAUGGUAUCGUACGACUUUGAUUAGAUGAGAUAUAAAAGGUUACCAAAUUGUUGAUUCCCUUUAUUAUAAUAUAGUAUUUGUUUGAAUUUCUUUAUGUUCCUGUUGGGGCAUUGAGCACCAAAGUAUGAUGGGAAAAUUAUAGAAUGGUCUCAAAAGGAUGGACUUCUAGGAGCAAAUUCCUGGCCAUUGAACUUUUUGUAUGGUUAACUUUAAAAAGCUCGUUUGGACCCAUUUCAAUUUAAUAAUAGAAUAUUUAAAUAAACAUAAAAUUUCCAACAUUCAUGAAGUUAAUUGAGUAUGAAAUAUUAUUACAUAACAUAGUUUAAAUAUAUUGCAAUAAACGUGAUCAUCAACUGAGAUGCAAGCACGACAUAUAUGAGCUGCUGGUGGGGCCGCCUUGCCCAGAGGAUCGGGAGCUGCACUGUCUGUUACGGUGGUGCUCCAUGGCAUCGAUAAGAUUCAGGACCGGGUAAUGCACUGCUAAGAUCAGCUCCUCUCUCUUCUGUUGCGGUGGUGAGGCAUGACAUUGACGACCGGGGAAUGCAUAGGUAGGAUGAGUUGUUGUCCUGUUGAUGUCGGGCUGGAGCUAUUGGGCUAUCAGGAAGAGUUGGAGCUACUGGGCUACCGAGUCAGGUGGAGCUAUUAGACUACCAGGUAAAGAAACCUCUUAUGAAAAUAUAGCCCUUGAGACAGGUGGAGAAUCAAAGAUCAGUUAAGGGGAGAACGAAGAAAACACCAUGCAACAAUAACAAAAAUGACCUAGCCACUUAACUUGAACACAGGGAUCAGGCAUAAGAGCAUUUGCCGGAUGCCAAGCACACGAAUGCUCUAAGAACACAUUAAAUCAACAUCAAUAUCAUAUCAAUGUAUCCUGUGAAUGGAAAUACAAGCAGAUUAGUAAAUCAACAUGCGACGGGCAUUAUUCGAUAAAUACAACAUGCAGUAAAGAGACCAAAUGCUGGAACUAGAAAUAAUUUUCAAAAUAAUUUUCCUUUUAGAACGAGUACUGCAGACAUUCAUGAACUGCUAUGGCACAGAUGCAGAAGCCCAGGCUUGUAUAUACCCCCACACCCAAGCAUGCAUUCAUACACUUAAUCAAAAGUAAUAUAUUGACUUAAAAAAAUAUAUUAAUAACCACUGGCCAUCAUACCAAUAAGACGUAAACAUGACAUUGAAACAAAACCAGUGAAAAGGUAUGACUAUCAUUUUCUCACCCAGAGGGGCAGAUUCAUGUCAAUCUGCCAAUUUAGAGUAAUGUGAAAGCAAAAUCCGAAAACACUCAUCUACAUACAAACCGAUCAGGCCAAUGAUCAAUGUAAUCUGUCUGCAAUCCGAAAACACUUGAGCUGCAUCUAAACAUUACAUAACUCAUCACUCAGCACAGCAUAACACGAAGAGUUUAAACAGAAGCAAAAUUACAAACUGUUUGCGCUGUUUGCUUUACCAAACCUGCCGUCAAUGGCCUCGGUGAUAUUCUUAGCAUUCAAACUCUUGGGGACAUCUCGUAUCCAAGUCAUCUUCCCAGACGGUACGUGUAAUAUCAGAACAAAUUUUCACACAUCAGAAGUGAAAACCAAGCUGGCACACCAUUGUUAGCAUGAACUGAUACUCUCAUAGCUACUUUACAACCUUGGUGGCCAAAACGACGCUCCUCGCUCCUCCCCUGACCCUGAGUCUGGGCUCGCUGAACCACUGGAUACAUUUCUGUAGAGUCGAAUAAAUUGAUGCCGGACAGGAAAGCUUGGUCGAGGAGGCCAUACGACUCCGAAAACGUGUUUUGCUUGCCGAAAGUCAUCGUCCCUGCGUGAAGAAUGAAUUUUUAUUUGAGGAUGAGAGGGAGGGCCAAAGAAUCAGACUCAGAGUCGGUAAGAUUGGGGGCGAGGUUGAAGAGAGGCACUGCCAUUGCUUCGCUUGAGAAGCUUUUUGAGUUUGUCAACUGUGAGUGGAAUGGGAAGGAGAAAAAUCAAAGUAUAUGCUAUAUCGGCGCAAGUUUGGCGGAUUUUCAGGGGUUGGAUAAGAUAAAAACAUAACCGAGUUACUAUCUAUGUGUUCGAAAAAUCGUCCAACAAAUAAAUAAUAAAAUAAAAUAUAAAAAUCCGCCUAGGCGGGCUAGGCGGGUUGGGUCCUUUUUUUCUUUUUUUUCCUGACUUUAAAUAAAACCUAGUCUUGGAGGGAUAUGGAGAGGAGGAAGAGUUAGAUUUAGAGGCCGAGCUUUGAAUCAAUGCCUGUUGAAGCAGAUGCAUCAGUUUGGAGAGCCUUGCUCAAUGCUUGUCGACUUCAUUCUGCCACGAAGUUAGCUGGAACCAUAUUUGAAAAACUUGUUGAAUUAGAAUCGAUGAAUGCGGGGAAUUAUGUUCUGAUACCUAAUAGAGAUAUUUAGUAAUAUACCAAUUCUUAACACUAAUAUUAUAAAUAAACUCUAUAUCAUUGAAAUUCUAUAAACAAACCCCAAAAAAAAACAAAAAAUAACAGCUGGCCUUAUUGAAUUUAAUAUUGAUGAUUAAAUUACUUUGAUGCCCUAUUGAGUGUUUUGGGUAUUUUUAUGAGAUUUUGGGGUUGAGCUUGUUUUAAGAAAUUGAUGAUAGUUUUGUAAUUUAUAAGAAGUUCAAAGCCUCUUUGUUAUGUUGUAAAUGAGUUUUGGGUGUGUUGCUAAAGUCCAUUUCAUAUGAGGUAUUUUUAUAAUUUGGGCCCCUAUAUUGAGUAUAAUAGUAAAUCUCCCUAUCUAAUAUAUAUGCUGCAGCAGGUCUAUGGAUGGAGGUCAGGCAGAUAAGAACACGGCUCAGGGAAAAGGGUUAGAAAAGCCUCCUGGAGUAAGUUGGAUUGUUGUUAAAAGCCAGGUCCAUUGUUUCGUUGCCGGAGACACAUCACACCUUCAAUCAGACAUAAUUAAUUUAUGCAAGUUUAAAUUCUCUGUCAACCUUGAUCAAAGAAAGCCGAUACAUUCCUGAUCUUUGAUUGGUUUUGCGUGACGAAGAGGGUUAGGUUGAAAGUGGGGUCAUAAUCUUCAGUUUUGCAUACUGCUGAGGGUUGGGAACCUUUUAAUGAUCACUAAGGACUCAAAAAGGCUUUGUGAUGGGUUCCAUUGAUUAAUGUGUCUGUCAUUGUUGGAAGGGAAGAACAUGAAGAAUUUUGUAUCAUUUUAGGUCCCUGACCGGAUUCUUUUUUAGGCUUGAUAAACAAUUCCAUCGUGUAUAUUUGUAUUGAGAGUCUCUGACAUACAUGAAAGAAAGCUUCCAGAUAUAGUUUCUCAAAAGAAUGAAAGCAUCAAUUUCAAAAGAUGGAGAAGGAGAGUCAAUUUAAGAAGUUUGGUUAUUGAGUUUCAGACCAAAUUGUACACUGCUAGAAAUAUUGAACUGUAUAUACAAUUCACAAUGGCUCCAAGCCCAUAUGGAUUUAUAGUUACCUCAGGCAGAGCAUAAUUGUAAUUUUUUUUUUUCGAGAGAAAUUAUUUGAGUCAAAGGCUAAUUCUUAUAGCAAUGAUGCCACAAAUCUCACAAAAAAACGCCAGUCUAUCUCACUCUGCAAAGAUAAUUACUAAACCAAAAUUAUCAUUACGAUUAUGUAUUCAGCCAAAAUUUUCGAAGUUUGUGUUUACAACAGUUUGCCCCCCAAAUUUUAACAAGCAACUCUAAAAUUCUUGAGAGGCAGAUCAAUUGUUUCCUCUCCCUUUACCAAUCUUCUUCGGCAACAGGGUGAUGAAUGUUUCGCAAAACACUGCCCUUACCAAUAGUAACAAUACCAAUUCAAGACUUGGAUUUAGGGUUUGGAGGCUAAAAUCCAUUUUUAGAAUACAAAAAUAAUUUUCUAGGAUUUUUAAAUAAUUGAAACUAUUUUAAAAUUUCACAAAAUUAUUUAAGAUAAUUAAAUAUAUUUAAUUACUAUUUAUGAAGUAAAUUAAAUAUUUAAAUACUAAUUAUUCACUAAAUAAAUAGUAAUUAAAAGAUAAUAUAUUUAAAGAGUAUAGCCGGGCGGCUAUACUUUUUAAAUAUUCGAAUAUAUUAAAGGAGUAGAGCCGCGCGGCUAUACUCUUUAAAUAUAUUGGAAUAUUUAAAAGGUACAGCUGAACGCUAUACGCUGUAAAUAUAUUGGAAUAUUUAAAAGGUAUAGCCGCGCGGCUAUACUCGUUAAAUAUAUUCGAAUAUUUAAAAGGUAUAACCGAGCGGCUAUACUCUUUAAAUAUAUGAUGUUUUAAUUAUUUUUUAUUUACUGAAGAAUUAGUAUUUAAAUAUUUUAAUUAAUUUCAGAAACUACUUCAUAACUAGUAAUUAAUUUUGUGGAAUUUAAAAUUAUUUAAAAAUCCUAGAAAAUUAUUUUAGUAUUCUAAGUUCCUACAUAUCAAAAGAUGAGAUGAACAAUUUGAAAAUUGACCUCUAAAAAGAUUCAACCGAGCAUCUGCAGGACCCCCAUUAAGUCUCCAAACCAGAGUCCUAACGUGGACAAGAACAUGAAGAAAGAAACUAUAAAGAAUUGGAGGGAGAGGUGUCGAACCUAUUGCAAGAGAUACUGGAUGAACAGUACUUCCCUGCAAUAUCAAUGUAUCCUGUGAAUGGAAAUACAAGCAGAUUAGUAAAUCAACAUGCGACGGGGAUUAUUUGAUAAAUACAACAUGCAGUAAAGAGACCAAAUGCUGGAACUAGUGCUGCAGAAAUUCAUGAACUGCUAUGGCACAGAUGGAGAAGCCCAGGCUUGUAUAUACCCCCACACCCAAGCAUGCAUGCAUACACUUAAUCUAAAGUAAUAUAUUGCCUUAAAAAAAAAAUUUAAUAACCACUGAGGCAUCAUACCAAUAAGAUGUAAACAUGAAAAGGUGUGACUAUCAUUUUCUCACCCAGAGGGUUAGAUUCAUGUCAAUCUGCCAAUUUAGAGUAAUGUGCAAGCAAAAUCCGAAAACACUUAUCUACAUACAAACCGAGCAGGCCAAUGAUCAAUGUAAUCUGUUUGCAAUCGCCUUAAGCUGCAUUUAAACAUUACAUAAAUCAUCACUGAGCAUAGCAUAACACGAAGCGUUUAAACAGAAGAAAAAUUACAAACUGUUUGCUUUAGCAAACCUGCCGACAUUGGCCUUGGUAAUAUUCUUAGCAUUCGAACACUUGGGACCAUCUCGUAUCCAAGUCAUCUAAACAGACGGUACCUGUAAUAUCAGAACAAAUUUGCACACAUCAGAAGUGAAAACCAAGCUGGCACAAAAUUGUUAGCAUGAACUGAUACUCUCAUAGCUACUUAACAACCUUGGUGGCCAAAACGACGCUCCUCGCUCCUCCCCUGACCUGAGUCUGGGUUCGCUGAACCACUGGAUACAUUUCUGUAAAGUCGAAGAAAUUGAUGCCGGACAGGAAAGCUUGGUCGAGGAGGCCAAACGACUCCAGAAACGUGAUUUGCUCGCCGAAAGUCAUCGUCCCUGCAAAGAAUGAAUUUAUAUUUGAGAAUGAGAGGGAGGGCCAAAGAAUCAGACUCAGAGUCGGUAAGAUUGGGGGUGAGGUUGAAGGGAGGCACCGCCAUUGCUUCGCCUGGGAAGCCCCUUGAGUUUGUCAACUAAGUGGAACGGGAAGGAGAAAAAUCCAAGUAUCUGCUAUAUCGGCGCAAGUUCGGUGAAUUUUCAAGGGUUGGAUAAGAUAAAAACAGAACCGAGUUACUAUCUCUGUGUUCGAAAAAUCGUCCAACAAAUAAAUUUAAAAUAAAAUAAAAUUUCCGCCUAGGCUGGUUGGGUCCUUUUUAUUUUUUUAUUAUUGUUUUUUUGCCUGACUUUAAAUAAGGGCUCGUUUAAAGUCUAACUAUUCCUCCUCCUCUCCAUAUCCCUCCAAGACUAGAGGCCUAGCGUUUCAUUUCAAGUAUUUUUCUUUGUAGUAACUUUUUCCCAUGUUUUAUAUCAAUUAUGUUUUUUUUUAUAAUUUCUAUAUCCUUUUAUUUUGCAUGAUUUCGGUAUAAAAUUAUAAUUUAUAAUACAAAAUAAUUAAUUUCUUUUUUAAAACGCCUAAGCCAGAUUACUCUUCUAGCUGCUAGGCCCCUGCUACUGCCUUGCGAUUUUUCGAACAUUGAUAUCUACAUCUAUAAAAUUCCUCAUUGCACCACAUAAUUGAUACAAAAUAUUUAUUUACUAAAAACCACCCUCAAAUCAAAUUAUUUUUACAUUGACAACUACUUCCUGCUGAUAAUUGAUACAAAUAUUUAUUUACUAGCAUUACCAUUUCCCCUAAAUAAACAAUCUUUAUUACUUUUUCAGAAACAAUUAAAAUAACAUUCAAGAAACAAGAAAAACUAGAGAAAGGAGGUGCACUUAGGGGGAUCUCACAAAACCUUGCCUUGAAAAUUCCAAUAGAGGAAAAUUCAAUCAAGGAAAAAGAGUAUCACACACCUCCCUCAAAAACACUAAGCAUCUUCUCUAUUCGCCACCAGCGUAAACCAACCCAAAACAAUCGCCACCGUUCACGUAAACCGAAGUGAACCAAAAGGUGUGCGGCUUCAUUCCCUUUGCGAGGUUGAUAAAACACUUCACGCACUUGUAAAUGCACCAAUAAAUUCCUCACAUCUUCAACCAGAUUGCCUAGAUUGCUCCAACAUUCGCCAAAUCCAAUAACAAGCGACACUGCCUCUUGAGAAUCAGAAGCCAAAAGAAAAUUUUGGUAACCUCUCCACAAAGCCAUUAACAAACCUUCUAGCAUCGCAGCAAGUUCGGUUCCCAGAACAUCAAGUCCAACAUGUCCAUCACAUGCAAAACCGAAAUAAAACUCACCAUCAUGGUCCAUUUCCCCUUAUUCAUAUCUUAUUAAACUAUUUUCUAUUAAUUUUGGCCAAGAAAAACUAUUUUCCAUUAAUACACUCUUUUAACUUGCUUUCUUUUCCAUUUCCCAAAAUUAAAAGUGGAUUUAGAACGUUUGUAAUAACAAAAUAAGUGAUAAGAGGGCAACUAAUUAUUGUUUAGUUCACAAUUUAAUGUUAGAAAAUCCAUCAAAUCAUUUUGGUAACACUGAAUUAGAUCUUCAAACAUCUAUAAUUUUGAUCUAGAAACCUCAACAUUUUCAUUUUACUUUUCAUUUUCUGAGUAUGACAUCCGUUUAUUUGAAGGGCUAAAAUAAGAGAAUCGAUUUCAUAUAUCUUUAUAUUUUCAGUUUGAUUUCUCAACCGAUAAAUGAUCUUGCAUAACAUAGCAUGUAGAAAUCUUCAGAAAACUUAUGGCACAUUGUACUAUGUGUCUUUAAGUGGGUUCUUUCAAAUUGCAGCAUCCCAACAUGUCCAUGUGUGCCAACUGCUUAAUGAUCCAAUUCCUCUCCAGCAUAAUUAUAUAUACGCACACGUUGGAGUAUUUUUGUUAACUUAUUUCGUGGCUUUUGGGUUAACGUUAAACGGGGUUUUGGCUAAAUAUGUGUCUCUUGAUUGGAGUAAUGGCUACUAGCUUUUAGAUUUCAAAAGUAGUGAAGAUAGAUGAGUUUUGUCAAAAUUAUGGGAUCAUCAAGUGGUAAUUCAGGGUCUAAUUAAUUCAUUUUCAUUCUAAAUUAUGUAGGGGGACGAUGAUGAUUGAUUUUAACAGCAAAAAAGAGUGAUUCAUCACCGCAACUUGAGUAGCCUCUAGUAUAGGACUAAAGCUAGGGGCGGAGCUAUUCAUAGGCCUGAGAUGGCCUGGGCCUCCUUACCAUCUUCUCACCUCUUUAACUGUAUAAAGAGCACAACAUAGAUUGCAAAAAAAAAUCCCAUAGAUUUAAGCUUGUGGCCCCCCCAACAUCAAACUCUACCUCCGCCACUGACUAAAGCAGUCAUUUGAAAAUUGAAAAUGAGCAAUAUUUGGAAAAAGAAAUAGAUGAAUGAUCAAAAUAUCCCUUCCAAAAGUUGCACAAAAAAUCCAUACUAAAAAAAGUGUAGAACAAAAACAAGUUGGUAAGAGGAUGACACAAAUGUAGCUAGUAGCACGAAAUGGAUCGUACGUAUCAGGAGACAAAAAUACACCCUCAUCAUCCUUCAGUUUUGAAGGGAAGCAAAUUAAUAAAGACAUAGAGCAGCAGAGAAGGGAUGAAUGGGUGAAAAGCAUGUACAAAAGGAGACAAAUAGCUGAGAUCACAAUAGUGCUAGCUCCUUCUUCCGUUACUUGCUUCAUCAAAAAACAAGAUGCAAAACCUCAGGUUUUCUCACAGAAAACCACUGCAGAAUUUUUCUUAUAUAUAAUAAUAAUAAUCUACAAGGGACAAAUGCAGCUUCCGGAUUUCCACAAAUCUCAAAACCACUUUGCCUUUUUCUUUUGCUUUAUGUGUAUAUAUACACAUUUAGUGUUAGGGUCCAAAGCAUAGUCCUCCAUACACAAGAAAACAAAAAAAUAAAAAUCCCCCAGAAACAGAAAAAAGCAGAGUGCUCUGCUGAAUUAACUGAAGAUGUGUGCAACAAGAGGAGCUUGGAUCGCAGCGGUUAGUGUUGGAGCUGUUGAGGCUUUGAAAGAUCAAGGCUUCUGCAGAUGGAGUUAUACCAUGAGGUCUUUGUGUAAAAUAGGUAUGAAAAGAUAUUUGACCAGAAUAAUCUUAUUGAUCAUUGAUAUAUGUUUAUAUAAUACAUUCCGUAGGUUUUCCCUAUAAGUAAGCUAACUAGCUAGGAAAGAAUAUAUACGGGAAUCAAAUAAUAUAACAUUCCUAUUCUAUUAUACAAUCCCUAAACUGAAGGGUAAUCUUUGAUUCUCAACACUCCCCCUCAAGUUGGAGAGUGGAUGUCAAGAACUCCCAACUUGCGUGACAUACGAGCGAAAUCAUCUUUGCCCAAUGCUUUGGUGAAGAUGUCUGCUAUUUGCUGGGAAGAAGCAACAUGCUUUGUCGUUACAGAACCAUCUUGGAUUUUGUCUCUAAUAAAAUGACAAUCCAUUUCAAUGUGUCGUGUUCGCUCAUGGAAAACAGGAUUUGCUGCUAUAUGUAACGCAGCUUGGUUGUCGCAAUGAAGUAUCGCUGCCUUCCGAUGUGGCAACUGAAGAUCUCGUAACAAACUACGCAACCAAGUCAGUUCACAACAAGCACCAGUCAUAGCUCUGUAUUCUGCUUCUGCUGAAGAAAGUGAAACAGUUUUCUGUCUCUUUGAUCUCCAAGAAAUCAAGGAGUUUCCGAGAAAAACACAAUAUCCAGUGGUAGAUCUUCUGGUGGUUGGACAACCUCCCCAGUCAGAAUCACAAUAAGCUCGCAAUUUUAAGUCAUUUUGAGCUGGAAAAAAUAAACCUUGUCCUGGAGUGUUUUUGAGGUACUUCAAGAUGCGCAACGCCACCUCCAUAUGAGGUUUACGUGGCUCAUGCAUAAAUCUACUGAGCACAUGCACUGCAUAUGUAAUGUCUGGUCUCGUGAUGGUCAAGUAAAUCAAACGACCCACUAACCUCCUGUACUUGGCUGGAUCUUUAAGCAAUUCACCUGUGUCAGAUAAUUUCAAAUUUUGUUCCAUGGGAAAUAAGACAGGUCGUACCCCAAGAAAACCACUAUCUUUAAGGAUGUCAAUGGUGUAUUUCCUCUGAGAGAUGCUAAUGCCUUUCUUUGAACGCGAAACUUCAAUACCCAAAAAGAAUUUAAGGUCACCGAGAUCCUUAAUGCGGAAGCGGGUAUGAAGAAAACGUUUAAGAGAAUUAAUGGCACCCAAGUUAUUUCCUGUGAUCAAUAUAUCGUCAACAUAAAUCAAGAGAGCAAUGAAUGACUUUCCUCUGUUGCACGUGAAUAAGGAAUAGUCUGCUUUGGACUGAGUAAAACCAGCAGCUUGAAUAGCUUCAGAAAAUUUUGCAAACCACUGACGAGAAGCUUGUUUUAGGCCAUAUAAAGACUUGUGGAGGCGACAUACCAGAUUCUCCCCCUGUCGCUGAAGACCAGGCGGUGGUGUCAUAUAAAUCUCUUCAUGGAGAUCCCCAUGAAGGAAGGCAUUAUGGACAUCUAAUUGAUGAAGGGGCCAAGAGGAAGCAGCAGCAAGUGCAAGAAGGCUGCGAACAGUAACCAUCUUGGCGGUAGGAGAAAAAGUAUCAUGAAAAUCAACACCCUCUGUCUGUGUAUAACCCUUGGCGACUAACCGAGCUUUGUACCGUUCAAUAGAUCCAUCAGAAUGAUGUUUGAUCUUGUAGACCCACCGACAACCAAUAGGGUGCUUGCCAGGAGGAAGAGGAGUAAGAGUCCAUGUAUGAUUGGUCUCUAAAGCUUGAAGUUCAGAGCGCAUGGCUUGCUGCCAGUUAGGAUCAGAAUUGGCCUCAGAGAAGGAACGGGGCUCCACACUGUGACUGAUGUGAGUAAUGAAAGCAAGAUGUGCUGGUGUAUAUCUGUGAUAAGAAAUAAAGUUGCUCAAGGGAUAACGAGUACCUGAGGUGCGAUGUGAAGACGAAGACUCCGAUUGGACAUCGUUGGGUAGCGUGACUUGAGAGCAAACAUAGUCUUGGAGGCGCACAUUCGGAACCUUGUGACGUUCAGAUUGGCGAGUGGGUUGAACGGGUGGUGCCGGUGAAGGUGGUGCAGUAGGCGGAAGAGAAGAUGGGAUUGCAAGAGGAUCUGGUGCUGGAAGAGGAAGAUCUGCAGAAGGAGGCGCAAAAGGAGUGGAACUCAUUGGACUAAUAGGCAAAGUGUGCUCCGUGGGUUCAGGAGCUAGAUUGGAAUUUUGUGGUGGAGAUGAGUCAUGGGCUGAAAUGGGUAAAGGAAGGCUAGUGUUUGGGAUGGUGGUGGGACCAGCUGUUGGAGUAGAAAAAGGGAAGACAUCUUCCUUAAAUAAAACAUCUCGGCUAGUGAAUAUUUUUUGAGUGGACAAAUCAUAGAGUUUAUAUGCCUUUUGACCAAGUGGGUACCCAAUAAAAAUGGAUUUAAUUGCUCGAGAAUCAAACUUUUUGGUAGGGUGGACUAUAGUAGCAUAUGCAAGGCAGCCAAAUACUCUUAAAUGUGAAUAUGAUGGGGUUUUGUGAUAUAAACGUUCAAAAGGGGUUUGUUUGGAAAGAACUAAAGUGGGAAAUCGAUUAAUCAAAUGAACGGCAGUGAGAAUGCAGUCCCCCCAAAAACGGAGAGGCAAGUGUGCUUGAAAUCGCAAAGCACGUGCGGUCUCAAGAAUAUGACGGUGCUUACGUUCGACAACACCAUUUUGUUGGGGUGUGUAGAUGCAAGAAUGUUGAUAAAUGAUGCCUUGUUCUUUAAAAAAAUCUCGCAAUGAAGAAAAUUCACCCCCAUUAUCUACCCUAAUUGCUUGGAUUGUAGCAGUGAAUUGGGUCUGAACCAUGGAAAAAAAAGAUUUUAGAAUCCCUUGUGUUUCAUGCUUAUGAUGCAUAAGGAAAACCCAGGUAAAGCGAGAAUAAUCAUCCACUAUAGUUAAAAAAUAACGACCCCCAGAAAGGGAAGGAACUUUGUGAGGUCCCCAAAUAUCACAAUGAAUAAGGGAAAAAGGUUUUGAAGUUGAAAUUGAACUAAUGCCAAAAGGAAGGCGAGUUUGUUUAGAAAAAUGGCAAGCAUCACAAACAUUAUGGAAAGAAAAUGAACAAUUCAAAUGUUUUGCUAAAAAUUGUAAACGAGAGGAUGAAAUAUGCCCUAAACGGCGAUGCCAUAAAUCUCCAGGAGUUGUAACCAGGUGACAGGAAGGUUGGAUGGUGGAUGGUGUUCUGUCAGACGCCAACGCCACAAGGUAGUAGAGCCCAUCACGCUCCUUACCCAAACCAAUCAUCGUCCUCGUCUUCAAAUCCUGUAAAAUACACCAAGUGGGAAAGAAAAUUACUGAGCAUUGUAAUCCUUUCGUAAGUCGACUUACGGACAUCAGAUUAACUUUAAAUGUAGGCACACAUAGCACAUCUCGUAAAUAAAAAUAUGAGUUCAAAGGAAGAGUCCCAGUAGAUGCAAUUGGCGCUGUUUCUCCACUAGGCAUAGUGACUGGCAACAUAGAGGAAGUAUUCAUCCUCUUGGUAAGGAAUUUCGAAUCUGAUGUAAUAUGAUGAGUUGCUCCACUAUCAAUUAUCCAAUGUAAAUUGGGUAACAAUUCGGAAAUACCUGAAGAAGCUGAGGCGGUAUUGGCUUGUGGUGCAAUGUGGGAUGGAUUAGUGUUGUCACUCAUCAUCGCAUGAAUUUUCUUACAUUGAUCCUCGGAUAAAGAUGGCAUAGCUGUGUGAAUCUCCUGCAAGGAUGGACCAUUGGAUGCCACAUUAUUGGCGGAACUGCUGCUACCUUUCCCUUUACCUUUCCCGGAUUUGUGAAGCCUGUGUCCAGGGGGAUAGCCAUGUAGCUUGUAGCACUUGUCCACUGUAUGGUGAUCCUGAUCGCAAUGGCUGCAGUGAAGAGGUUUGCGCCCAGAAGAAUUUGAACGCUGAUUGUUUCGAACUGCCAUAGCUGCUGGUUCGGUGAUUGCUUGGCUGGAACCUAAGUCACGCUGCUUUUCUUCUUGGGUGAUCAAAGAAUAAGCCUUGCGAACCUUAGGGAGAGGCUGCAUAAGAAGUAUUUGGCCUCGAAUGGCGCUGUAGGACUCAUUAAGCCCCAUAAGGAACUGCAUCAACGAGUUUCGUUCCUCCUGUUCGACAUGCUUCUUCAUGGCACCGCAAGAACAAGCUGGGACGUCGCUGUAAGAAGACAGCUCGUCCCACAGACUCUUCAUCUUGGUAUAAUAAACAGCAACAGACAUCUGCUCCUGUGAGAGGGAAGCUAUGGUGCGUUGUAUCUCGAAAAUACGAGGAGCGUUAAGUUGGGAAAAACGUUCUUUAAGGUCCUCCCAAAUCUCUUGUGCGGUGGAGGAGUAUAACACGCUUUCUGCAAUAUCUGGUUCUAUCGAAUUGAGCAGCCAAGAUAAAACCAUGUCGUUGCAACGCUGCCAAACCUCAAAAGUCUCAGGAUUAGUUUUCUCCGAAGGGACUUUGAUUGUCCCAUUCACGAACCCCAAUUUGUUCUUCGCGCUUAGGGAGAUGCGCAUAGAGCGGCACCAUGUCGCAUAAUUGUUUCCAUUAAGGAUUUUGGAAACAAGAACCAUUCCAGGAUGAUCAGAAUGGUGAAUGAAAAAGGGAUCGGAAGCAUCGUUUUUGCUUCCCGAUGCAGCGGAUUCUUGGUCUUUGGUCAUGGUGGCAGCGUCAAGGAGAGGAUGAAAAUUAAGGUUGAAAGGUGACUAUUUGACAAGUGCGGCUAGAGCCAAGAGCUAGAGUUUCCUCUGCUCUGAUACCAUGUAAAAUAGGUAUGAAAAGAUAUUUGACCAGAAUAAUCUUAUUGAUCAUUGAUAUAUGUUUAUAUAAUACAUUCCGUAGGUUUUCCCUAUAAGUAAGCUAACUAGCUAGGAAAGAAUAUAUACGGGAAUCAAAUAAUAUAACAUUCCUAUUCUAUUAUACAAUCCCUAAACUGAAGGGUAAUCUUUGAUUCUCAACACUUUGAUCCAGCAUGCCAAGAACAAUAUGAGAUCAUUCUUACAAGCCAAGGAACUCUCUUCUUCUUCUUCUGCUAUGGUUUUGAACAAAAUGAAUUCUGAACAGAAGAACCAAGCUGAGGAUUCUCUAAGAAAAGUCAUGUACUUGAGCUGUUGGGGUCCUUAUUGAAAUCCCUCCAACAUUAUAGGUAGUUGAGGAUGUACCACUUAGAUUUUAUUUUUGAAACUGAGUUUAAGCUGUAUAUACAUGAUUUGAAUGUAUAUUUUCCCAACCCAACAACAAGAAAAUCCCAGAUUUUGAUGUUUACCAAUGAACAUGAACGUUGGUUUUUCAGUCAAACAACUAACCAGUUGAAAUUAUCACAAAGCCAAAAACAAAGAACCAACUAGUUGAAAUUUAUAUCAGUUAGGUGCAACAAGAACACAAUCUCAUCCUAUUGAUCAUCGUUGACAAAAUUCAAGUACAAAAGUAAUGUAAAAAUCCGAAGGGUUCGUUUAGAUCAAAAUCUUAGAGCAUUACGUUUUUCAAAUAUAAAAUGAACACACACCAGACAUGUUGAUAUUCCAUCUUAUUAGUCAUCUAAUUCAUCAACUAUAUAUGACGCUUUUAUCACAAACUAAAUAACUAACUCUUAAUUUAAUGAUAUUUCAUUUAAAAAAAAGAAAGAGAAUCCUCAUUAAUUUAGUAUAUUAUGUUUCUUCUUCAUCAAAUACCAAUUGAUACUCAAUCGACAUACAUCCAUGUGUGACAAUCAUGUGAACUCUAAUAUGAUCACUUCUCCAACAAGAGUGAUGGAAAUUUAGAGGAAACAUUCUAGUUUUUUUGGGGCAGCAGAUGUUAGGGACACUCAUCCGUUCAUCCAUGUGUGAGAAUAAUAUGAGCUCCAAAGAAGUUGAAGUUCCACUCAAAAUUAAUUUGAAAAAAAUAAUCCAACUUUUUAUGAAUUGUUACUAAAAUAUUCAACCAUUCAAUAUGAGACAUUUUCAUUUUCGCAUUUUCACAGUUACAUUUUCAACUAGCACGCAAACAAGUAAACUACUGGUUUCACUCCCAGACUGCUACUACUAGCCCACAGUCCAAAAUAAAGUGACGAGAGACUGUUUCUGUCUUUUGGCCCACACUUCAGAUCAAACAAGCAAACAAAUGGUUUCACUCCCAUACUUCCUAAAUACAAUAAUUUAAAUCAAAACCAUGUGCCCAUGAGGCAACAAAACUCUGUGCUUAUCCAAACUCCAGAAUAUUAAAUUCCACUUUUACCCCUGCCUAGUACAUCAUAUUGCCUCCAUCCGCAUGUACAAAACAGUAAUAUCUCCAAAUAUAGUGUAACAUCCACAUACCUUACCAAAAGAAACAGAAGAAAACAAAACCAGCUCUGGUUUCUUGCCACAAGCCCACCUUUUAAAAAAAAAAUUCCCCUAUAUGGGGAGCACCUCAAGAUCAUCUUCUCCAUCAAUACACUCAAACAUUCACAUUCACAUUCACUACUGAAGAGAAGAAAUCAUAAUCGUGAUGAGUUCAUCAAGUGCAAGCAAGGCUAUUGUGGCAGCAAGUGUUGGAAUUGUGGAGGCAUUGAAGGACCAAGGGAUAUGCAGGUGGAACUCUGCUUUAAGAUCUGUGCACCAGCAAGCCAAAACCCAACUCAGGUCAUUGUCUCAGGCCAACAACAAGCUCUCAUCUUCUUCUGCUUCAGCUGCUUUCAGUAAAGUCAGAGAUGAGAAGCUGAAGAAAUCAGAGGAGUCUUUGAGGACAGUCAUGUACUUGAGCUGCUGGGGUCCCAACUAAUUCAAUCAGCACAGAGACAGAGAGCAAAAAGAUCAGAAUUUUGCGCAAGAGGUUGCUGAAAUGAAGCUUGGGCAUGAACAUAAGGAUGAAACAAGAUUACACAACCCAUGAAAGGGCUCCUUGAGUUUUAUAUAUAUCAAAUGAUCAGGAUAUGUAAACUUGUUGGGUUACAUACUACUGGCAAAGGCAAUCGUUGUAAAUGGCAGACAGUUCAUUCAUGUCUGCUUGCUUGCUUGGGGCAAGUUGAUGUAAAUUACCACAUAAUGCAAAAGCACACAUAUUUCUGAGCAAUUGAUGCCUUGAUCAUUCUUUUCGAGUUUUUCUUUUUGCCCUUUCUUAUUAAUCCAUUAUUUACUUCGUUUUAACUGAAGGAUUUAUGAUACUAUAAAUUUGAGUAUUUAGUAGUGAAACAUAAUUGAGUUGCCCUAAUUGGGUAAAAUCCAUUGUGUUGAAUGGUUUCUUUCUCCAACAAAAGCUAUAGCCCAACACAUCCCAUGGUUUUUCCCACAUUUUAUGGGGUUUCCUUCCUCCUAUUCAUCCUCUGCUUUCGUUUCAAGUAAGCUCAGCUGCUGAGGUCCCGGUUGAAUAUUAAUUCAGCUUGUUUGUUAGAUCCCCUGAAUUCUCUAUGAUAUAUACAAUUGAUUAUUCUAUGCACCAGAAACUUAAACAUUAAUCAAGCUACUUAUUAAUGUUUAAGUUUUUAUGCUAACACACAUUUUAUAUCAAAUGAGUGUUGUUGGUGCUCUCAGAAAUGGUGAGAGGUACCUCUUCUUUUUGUAUUUUUGUUCACCACUCUUAAUUAGCGAUGAGUAAUACCAUCACGUUAAUUAUUGUGCAAGAAAUUCAUGUAAUUGUCGUGGAGGAAAUUCAUGUAAUAUGUAGAUUAAAUCAUACUCAUCAAAUGAAAAUUAACCUAAUUAUAAUGCUCACUAUUUCUUUAAUGAUAUGUCAACACAUAGUAGACUCAUGCCUAUAAUUAGUCGAAGCAAAUAGAGAGAAGGAAAGACACUAUAAUGUUUGUUUUUCCGCCCACGGUCCACACCAGACCAAGUAAACAAAUAGUUUCACUCCUACAUUGUGUUUGAAAUAGAUGCGCAAGAGGCAGUAAAUAGAAUCAAUUCUGACAAAGAGUGUUUUGAAGCAGAAGAGAACUUGGUGGAAGAUAUUAAGGAGAUGCGGUUGUGGUUUAGAUCUUUCUCGUGUGAACAGCAGUGAUGGGAUGGUAAUGUAGUUGCUCCUGAGCUAGCCCAAUAUGCUAUUAGAAACACAAACAUGGAUUGAGGAGAAGCCUCCUUGGUUGAGUUCUUUGCUUGCUGCAGAUUUAAGAGCUACUGGUUGAUUUAUAUAUUCGACAUCAAGUGGGAGGCCUUUUUUUACCUUUGGCGGAUUUUCCUCUUUUUUGGGGUUUUUUUAUGCCAACGAUUUUUUACAAAGGCCCAAACUGUUAACGUGAGUUAACCUACUAAAUCAAGGAGAUUUAUUUCCUAAGUUAAUUAGGUGAUUUACUUCAUUGUUUUAUAUAAUUGACACAUCCUUGUAUAAUUAGGAGAUAUUCUCCUAAUUAAUUACUGUAUCUAUUUCUUUAUGAAGUACCCUUGUAAAGUCCUAUAUAUACCUCCUUAUGGAGAAGAAUACAAUUAACCUAAAGUAUUCAAACCAUAUUCAUAUUUUAGCAUGGUAUAAGAGCAAUCUAUCCUAGGUUGUCUCUAAGCCCUCAAAUCAUACCCUCAAAUUCAAACCCAAACCCUAAAUCAAAUUCCUUACCUCCCAAAUCAAAUCCUCUUAUCAAACUCCUUAAACACAUACCUCUCAAAUCAAAUUCCUAAAUCAAAUUCAUACAUCAAAUUCCUCAAAUCAAAAUCCUCAAAUUCUCAAAUAAACUCCUUAACCACAAACACACACUCAUAUCAAAUGUUACUUCUGCUGCAAUGCCAGGACCCCCUACGAUUCUCUCCCUUCUUGCAAACUCACAGAAGCAUGCGAUCAAUCGUGUUAAACUGGCUACCCAGGCUCGUGCUUCUAUCACUACCACCAAAGGUUCUGCUUUUCAUAUGUCCUCUCCAAAGCCCACAUGAAUUAUUGACUUGGGUGCUAUGUAUCACAUGACAUUUGAUCCUGGCCAACUUAUUAGUCGCAAACCAUCCACUCAGUCGGUAGUGUCUAAUGCUAAUGGUAUCCUCUCCCAUGUGGUUGGAGAUGACUCUCUAUCUCUCUCUAACUCCAUACAUAUGGAUUCUGUAUUGAUUGUCCCAUUCUUGGACCAUAACUUGUUGUAUGUUGCACAACUUACUACUACUUUGAGGUGUAUUGUAAUAUUUUGGACAAAUCAUUGUGUUUUUCAGAACAUUCUCACGAGGAAGACGAUUGGUUGUGAUACUAGGUGGGGCAAACUCUACUACUUGGACUAGGCAUCGGAUAGUGAGACCAAGGUUGGUCAAGCUUUCACAACAAGUGGAGCUAGUUCUGAGAGGCAAAGAGACAAAGUUUGGUUAUGGCAUAAAUGUCUUGGGCAUGCCUCAUUUGGUUAUCUAAAGAAGCUGUUUCCAUCAUUAUUUUUCAGUUUUGAUGUUUCUAGCUUCCAGUGUGAUACGUAUGAAUUAGUUAAGAGCCAUCGUGUUCCUUUCCCAUUAAGUACAAAUAAAAGUUUGGUUCCAUUCUUCCUUAUUCAUUAUGAUGUUUGAGGGCUUGCUUAAAUCACUACUCCGGUUGGAGCUUGAUGGUUUGUCACCAUCACUGCGCACGAAUGACUUGGGUUCUCCUUCUCAAAACCAAAGGGGAAGUCAGUUUAACAUUUCAAUAGUUCUAUAAAAUAGUGGCAACUCAGUUUCAUGCCAAAAUCCAGGUUUUCCAUUUUGACGAUGGCGGCAAAUUUCUUAAUUAUAAUCUCAACAAAUUUUUACAAGAUCAUGGCAUCAUACAUCAACGCUCGUGUUCAUAUACUCCCCAACAAAAUGGGGUGGUUGAGCAAAAGAACCAACAUUGAUUGGAAGUCGUUCGUGCAUCUUUAUUUGAUACCAACAUGCCUCGGAAGAACCAACAUGUGAACCCUAAACCCUAACAUGAUCACUUCGCCAAUAAGAGUGAUGGAAAUUUGGAGGAAGCAUUCUUUUUUUUGGGGGGGGAGUGGGGGGGGGGGGGGGGGGGGGGGGGGGCGGCGGGCGCAAAUGUUAGAGACACUUGUCCAUCCAUCCACAUGUGAGCUUUACAUAAUUGUUGGAGGAAGUUGAGAUUUCAUUCCAAAAUUAAUUGGUAAUGGGGCAAGUAGUCCAACUUCACGCAAUUUCUCAACUAUCCAAUGUGAUAUAUAAUCAUGUGAGCUUUACGUAAUUAUUGAAGGAAGUUGCGAUUUCACUCCAAAAUUAAUUAGUAAUGGAGAAAAUAGUUCAACUUCAUACAAUUGAUCAACUAUCCAAUAUGAGACAUUUUCACUACUACAAACAAGUAAACUACUGGCCAGAAGCUGCUACCAAAAUAAAGUGACGAUACGAGAGACUCUGUUUCUGUCUUUUGGUCCGCUCUCCAAAUCAAACAAGCAAACAAAUGGUUUCACUCCAAUACGGCGGGCCUAAAUACAAUAAUUUAAAUCAAAACCAUGUGCCCAUGAGGCAACAAAAAUUCUGUGCUUAUCCAAACUCCAAAAUAUUAAAUUCCACUUUUACCCCUGCCUAGUACAUCAUAUUCCCUGCAUCUGCAUGUACAAAACAGUAAUAUCUCCAAAUAUAGUGUAAAACAUCCACAUACCUUACCAAAAGAAACAGGAGAAAAACAAAACCAGCUCUGGUUUUUCGCCACAAGCCCACCUUUUUUUAUUAGAAAUCCCCUAUAAAAAGAGCACCUCAAGAUCAUUUUAUCCAUCAGUACACUCAAACAUUCACAUUCACAACUGAGAAGUUCAAAGCAUCAAAGAGAGAUCAGUAAGGAAGAGAAAAGAAAUCAUAAUCGUGAUGAGUUCAUCAAGUGCAAGCAAGGCUAUUGUGGCAGCAAGUGUUGGAGUUGUGGAGGCAUUGAAGGACCAAGGGAUAUGCAGAUGGAGCUCUGCUUUAAGAUCUGUGCACCAGCAAGCCAAAACCCAACUCAGGUCAUUUUCUCAGGCCAACAACAAGCUCUCAUCUUCUUCUGCUUCAGCUGCUUUCAGUAAAGUCAAAGAUGAGAAGCUGAAGAAAUCAGAGGAGUCUUUGAGGACAGUCAUGUACUUGAGCUGCUGGGGUCCCAACUAAUUCAAUCAGCACAGAAACAAGCGCAAAAAGAUCACAUUUCUGUUGAGGCUUUGAAAGAUCAAGGCUUCUGCAGAUGGAGUUGCACCACCAUGAGGUCUGUGCACCAGCAUGCCAAGAACAAUAUGAGUUCUUUCUUACAAACCAAGGAACUCUCUUCUUCUUCUUCUUCUGCUAUGGUUUGAACAAAAUGAAUUCUGAAGAGAAGAAUCAAUUAAGAAAAGUCAUGUACUUGAGCUGUUGGGGUCUUUAUUGACACAAAUUGGAGCUCAUGGUGAAGUCCCUCAAGAUUUGAAGAUUUUUGAGACUGAAUUGAAGCUGUGUACAUUAUUUGAAUGUAAAUUUUCCCAAUCAACCAAAAAAACAAGAAAAUUUAUGUUCUUUGGUUUUUAUCAAUGAACAUUGGAUCUAUUAAUUAGACAAUUCUCGACCAGGUUAACCUUAGCUUACUGUAUCAUUGGUACUUAUUUGGAAUUCUAAUUCAAUACAUGUUGGUUUUAUUAAUGGUUCCUCCUUCAAAUAGAGAUGCUUUUGGUUCUAUUUUUCAGUCAAUCAACUAACCAGAUGAGAUUAUCACAAAACAAAAAACAGAGAACAAACCAGUUGAAAUUUAUUAGUUAGGGGCAACAAGAACACACAAGGUUAUCUCAUCCUAUUGAUCAUUGUUUGCAAAAUAAAAAGGCAGACGGUUCAUUUCGAUCAACCAAAACUUUAAAAACUAACUCUUAAUAUAGUGAUGUGAAAACUAACUCUUAAUAUAGUGAUAUUUCACUUAGAAUGAAGAAAGAGAAUCCUCAUUUACUUUACAAAGGGUUAUGAAGCGUUUAACAAAAGGCCUUGUCAUUUGGUCAAGGUCAACACAGUCUUGUUUAGUGGAAAAGAACCAUAAUCUUGUUCAGUGGAAAAGGACCAGAGUCUUGUUUAGUGGAAAAGGUCACUGAACAAGGAUCUGAGUCUUGUUUAGUGGAAAAGGACCAGAGUCUUGUUAGUAUUGUUAAAUGGAAAAAUGACCUGACUUACAGGCUAAUUGUCCCAAUUUCAAACUUCUAUGAUACAGUUGACAAUAUGUGUAGGAGAACACCUCCCUCCGGCAAUAUCACUUAUAUAAAACAAGCCUUAUGAUGUGUUUAAGUCCGGCUCAUAGUUUGUGCAGGCUGGACGAUGGCACAGGGCCCCCAAAUAUUUGAGGCUCCAAUUUUUUUUCUAGCCCACUUCUAAAAGAAACCCAAAAAAACCCUUCAUUUAUCUACAGUUUAAUUUUUUAAAAUAAACCCUUUAUUCCUUUUGACAAUAAGACCAAAGAAAGGAAAAUAGGGAGCCUUUUGACUAAAGAAAACGGGCCCCCCUGUUUUCAAUUUCCUAACCCAACAAUUUUAAGUUUGUUGUAAAGUUUAGAGUGGAGACUAGGGCUGGGCACGGUUCGGUUUGGACCGGUUUCGGGGAAAAAAUAGAACCUGAUCCGAUAGUGCAGACCGGUUCAGUUUGGACCGGUUCUGCUCAACAUCCAUACAGAAAUCCGAACCAAACCAGACCUGUCCGAUUCCGGUUCGGUUCCUGCGGUUCCGGUUUUUUUUUAUUUUAUUAUUUUUUUAUAAUUUAAAAUUUAACAAAUCUGCCCAAAAUGUAUUUAUAUACUAACAUACCCCAAAUUUGAGGUUCCAUCAAGCUUUCAACACAUCAAAAUGAAUCCAACUUCAACAAAAAUACAAUCCAAAUUCAAAUGAAUCCAACUUAAACAAAAAUUCAAUCCAAAUUCAAUCCAACUUCAACAUCAUCAAAAUGAAUCCAACUUCAACAAAAAUACAAUCCAAAUUCAAAUGAAUCCAACUUCAACAAAAAUUCAAUCCAACUUCAACAUCAUCAAAAUGAAUCCAACUUCAACAAAAAUACAAUCCAAAUUCAAUCCAACUUCAACAUAUAAAUUACAACCCAAAUUAAAUCAAACUUCAACAAAAUAAGUUCCAAAAUAAAUUACUAGCCAAAUACAACCCAAAUUCAACCAAAUAUACAUUACAACCCAAAUUAAAUUCCUCCUAACAUUGGAAAGUAGUUGGAGCUAUGGUGCUAGGUGUGGAUGAACUCAUAAUAUCUACAUAAAAAAAAUCAAAGGAUCAACAUACUCACAUUAACACUUUGAUUUACAACCCACUUCCACUUGUUGGGUUUGUUAAACCAAUAUAUCCAUUUCUUAGGACAAUUCUAUCUCUUAGGAAAGCCUCUGAUCAUGAUUCUGCUCUGGACUAAUAAAAAAAAUCAAAGACUUCCAUUAAAAACAGAAACUUCAGUUUUGUUAAACAAUUUAGGCAGGAACACUUUGCCUUUGGGAAAUCAUUAAAAAUCCAUUUUGAUUCAAAAUGGUGUGAACAUUUCCAGAUCACACGUAGACAUAUAAAACUUCAACAUAUCAAAAGUUCAUCGAAUUCCGAGUUAAGGAAGCCAGUCAAAGACUAAAUCCAAAAUAGACUAGGCUGCAGAGUUUUCUAUUUUCUGCAGAAUAAUGCCAACUUCGAAAAUUUGCCAAAUUGAAUUGGAUUAGUACAAUUGUAAAAAAUAAACAAUUGCAUUAAUAAAUUUGCCAAAUAAAUCUACUAAAUUAUAAACUGUUUCCAAACCAAAGAGUACAUUAAGUCUUGCAGUAAAAAAAGUCUGGUAGAGUUGUAUAUAUCAAUGUCAUGUAUAUGUAGGAAAAGGAAAUUACCUAAUUUCUCAGUGUGGCGAACAUCAUCAACCAGCAAAACUCUGUAACUAUCCCUACUCCCAAUACCUCUCUUGUCCUUGAGUCGUCCAAUAUCUCCUCCUGUAAUUUCAACAUUAAAUAAGGCAGAAGAAUAGUACAGUACAAUGCUACAUUGCAAUUGGGUUUUCUAAUAUGUUUUUCUCCCCCUUUUCAUAACAAAUCUCAACUAUUGAAUACAAAACAAAAAUCCCAGAUGAGAAAAAUCAAGACAGUUGAAGGAUAAAUGAUAAAGUAGGUACCUUGUUCAAGCUGGGUAGCAGGGUCAAAUUGGGAUUGGUCAAACUUUGGGCGCUCCAAGACCCCAGCACCACCCUUGGAAGACCUAAACCUGGCCUUCACAGCCAUGCCAGAGAGAGUCAGAAAAUUGAAUUGGGGAAAGAAAAAAAAAAGGAGAGAGAUAGAGAGAGAAUCUGACCUGCAAUGCAACGACUGAGAGGCUAAGAGAAGAGCGGCGGCAGAGAGGGGUGUGACUGUGACGUGCUGGUUGAGAGAGAGGUUUGGAAUCGGUGGCUGGUGGCUGGCUGGCGGCUGGCUGAGUGAGUAUGAAACUAAAUGGGAAGGAGAGGAAAGAACGAAGAAUGAAAAAACCCAAUCUGAAUUUGGUGUAAUCCUGUGUGUGCGCUACCUAUGGUAGCAGCAUACACAACCAAUCAAAAUUUGACAGGUAUGAAAAUAUAUAUAAUUUCAAAUAUAAAUAUAUAUAAUAUUUAAAAAAUAUAUAAAUUAAUUCUAUUGGACCGGUUCGGAUUGGACCGGUUCCUUAGGAUGGAAAACCGGAACCGGAACCGGUCUGAACCGGUUCGGUUUGGAUUUUUCUCGAUUUUUGACUUUUUUGGUCAACACGGUUUUUUUCGGUUUUUUCCGGAUUGGUUUGGUUCGGUUUUGCGGUUUUGCGGUUCAAAUGCCCACCCCUAGUGGAGACCACAUAUUUAGAAAAAAUGAAGCAUGUCAUGAUGAAGGUGUUGAAGAAUUGGAUCCACAUAUUAGAAGGAAUGAUUACAUAUCCAUGUGAAGUUAUCAACUUUGCCUGUAAACGGGCUUCAUCCUUCCCUUGCAUGAGACUACAAUUAGAGAAGGAAGAGAGAGAGCUCGGAGAGAAAGAAGAGAAGGAAAGAAAGAGGGUGAGUGAGCGGAGAGAAAAAUGAGAGCAGUGAGAAAUUCUCCAAGAGAGAAAAAAAUCAGUGAGCCACAUAUAUUGUAAAUAUUAAAGUUGUAACCCUAUUAUUUGAUAUAGUGGAAAAGUUAUAACUGCUGCUCUUCGAGGACGUAGACAAGGCCGAACCUCGUUAAAUGUUGUGUCUCAUCUACUUUACUUUAUCUCACAUAUUCCAGUUAUUUAAUAACAAAGUUGGAUGUUUUAUGCAAGCUUUGGAAUUUGAAGGCAUGAUUAUAAGAAAUUUAUAAAAUCAGGUGAAUUCCUAAUUUUUUUUAAUUUUUUAUCUAAUGUGAAUGAAUUUUGUACUUUAAAUUAUGACUUUUAGAUUUACCCUUAAAUUUUUCCCUUAAAAAUCCACUAUGAAUGAGAAAAUAAUAUUGUUUUGUUCAUAACUUUGUCAUUAACAUUUUUUCUUCUAUGAGAAUAUCAUAACAUUUUGUACUUGUAUAUAAAAGGCCUCAAUAUCACUCGUUAUACAGAGCCUCCAAAAUCAAUAAACCGCCGGGAUGUAUUUCUUACUAAUUGAUACUCAACCGAUGUGCAUCUACCUGUGACAAUCAUGUGACUGUUCUGUCGUUUGGCCCACACUCCAAAUUAAACAGGCAAACAAAUGGUUUGACUCCCACACCGCAGGCUAAAAUACAAUAAUUCAAAUCAAAACCAUGACCCAUGAGGCAGCAAAACGUUGUGCUUAUCUGAAUAUCCCAAUCCAUCUGCACGUACACAACAGUGAUAUCCCAAUCCAGACAUACUUCUGGAAACAGAAGAAAACAAAACCAGCUCUGUUUUUUUGGUUACAAGCACACCGUUUUUUCUUUUUAUAAUCUCGUAUAUAAAGAGAGAGUAAAAUUUUCGAAACAAUACCCUUAUUUCCAUGUCUUCCAGCUACUUUAUCACCUACUUUGAUUUCACGUUACUCAUUAUCAUCUUCUCCAUCAAUAAUACACUCAAAACAUUCACAUUCACAGCUGAGGAGUUCAAAAGAUUUAAGAGAGAAAUAGUAGAGAGGAGAAAAGAAAUCAUAAUCAUGAUGUCAAGUACAAGUGUUGGAGUGGAGGCAUUGAAGGAUCAAGGGAUAUGCAGAUGGAACUCUGCUCUAAGAUCUGUGCACCAACAAGCCAAAACCCAACUCAGGUCAUUUUCUCAGCUCUCAUCUUCUUCUGCUUCAGCUGCUUUCAGUACAGCCGGAGACGAAAAGCUGAAGAAAUCAGAGGAGUCUUUGAGGACAGUCAUGUACUUGAGUUGCUGGGGUCCCAACUAAUUCAAUCAGCACAGAGACAAGAGCAAAGAUAUCAGAUUUUUGUGCAACCGGUUGCUGAACUGGAGCUUGGGCAUGAACAGAAGGAUGAAACAAGAUGACACAACCCAUGAAAGGGCUCCUGGAGUUUUAUAUAUAUCAAAUGAUCAGGAUAUAUAAACUUGUUGGGGUUACAUACUGGCAAGCAAUCGUUGUAAAUGGCAGAUAAUUCAUUCAUGUCUGCUUGCUUGCUUGGGACAAAUUUAUGUAAAUUAUGUUAUGACAAUUACCUAUAAAUUUGAGUAUUUAGCAGUGAAACAUAAUUGAGUUGCCCUAAUUGGGUAAAAUCCAUUGUCUUGAAUGGUUUCUUUCUCCAACAAAAGCUAUAGCCCAACACAUCCCAUGGUUUUUCCCACAUUUUUAUGGGUUUCCUUCCUCCUACAUUCAUCUCUGCUUUGGUUUCAAGUAAGCUCAGCUGCUGGGGUCCCGAUUGAAUAUUAAUUCAACCUUGUUUAUUUACAAAAUGACUGUGAAUUGUAUAUCCCUGAAUUCUCUAUGAUAUAUACAAUUGAUUAUUCUAUGCACCAGCAACUUAAACAUUAAUCAAGCUACUGUGGUUUUGGUCAGAACGAAAACAUUAAUUUUUAGUGUAAAAAGGUUUUAUGCCUACACACAUUUCAUAUUAAAUUGAGUGUUGAUGGUGCUCUCAAAAAUGGUGGCAGGUGCCGUAGGUACCUUCCUUUUUAUAUUUUUGUUCACCACUCUUAAUUGACGGUGAGCAAACCCAUCACGUUUAUUGUCGUGGAGGAAAUUCAUGUAAUAUGUAGAUUAAAUCAUAUUCAUCAAACAUGUAAUAUAUAGAUUAAAUUAUACUCAUUAAACAAUAAUUAACCUAAUUAUAAUGCUCACUAUUUCUUUAAUGACAUGUCAACACAUAGUAGACUCACGCCUAUAAUUAGCCAAAGCAAAUAGAGAGAAAGAAAGACACUAUUGUUAUACAACUAAAAUAAUCAGAGAGUAUGAGAAGUACCACUAAAUAUUGGGAGUAUAUUGGGAGUGGAAUUAUAUUUGCUCUUUGUGGUGUUUACACUGACAGAAUUUCUUCUCAGAUAGAACUCAUUCUCUCUUUUCUUCUCUGACUCUGACUCUCUUCUCUUCUAAUUGGUUGUGUAUUUUACAACUUAAAAGGAAGCCUAUUUAUAGGCAAUUAGAAUGGCCUCCCGUGGAUGCAUCUUCAACAUUUUCUCUCAACAUCAUCAUUCAUCCCAACAUCAUAAUUUCAUCUUUUGACUAAUACUCCCUUACUUUAUUCAUGUGGCCUUCACUUCUUACUUUAUAACAACUAUAAUGUUUGUUUUUCUGCCCACGGUCCACACCAAACCAAGUAAACAAAUAGUUCCACUCCUACACUGCGAGCCUAAAUACAUAUAAGUUUGCACAUAAUUUUGGGUUUCAAGACAUUGUGUUGGAAAUAGACGCGCAAGGGACAGUAGAUAAAAUCAAUUCUGACAAAGAGUUUUUUGAAGCAGAAGGAAACUUGGUGGAAGAUUAAAGAUGCGGUUGUAGUUUAGAUCUUUCUCGUGUGAAUGGCAAUGACGUGACAAUAAUGCAGUUGCUCAUGAGCUAGCCCAAUAUGCUAUUAGGAACACUGGUUUUUAUACAUGAAUUGAGGAGGAGCCUCCUUGAUUGAGUUCUUUACUUGCUGCAGAUUUAAAAGCAACUUGUUGAUUUAUGUAUUCAAUGUCAACUGGGAGGCGCUUUUUUUCUUGUGGCGAAUUUUCCUCCUUUUUGGGAGUUUUUUAGGCCAAAUAUUUUUGUACAGAGGCUCAAACUUGUACAUCCCUUUCCUUCUUUUUGUUGUAUUAUGUUGGUUGGUUAUUGAAUGAAGUCCAGUUAUCUCAAUGUAAAGAAAAAAGGGCAAAAAAAGAAAGCAAAGCAAAACCAUAUGCCCACGUGGCAGCAAAAUGUUGUGCUUGUCCAAAUUCUGAAAUCCCACUUCUACCCAUGUUUAAUUGAUCAUUUCUACUGCAUCUGGAUGUCCAGUUGAGUAAUAUCUGAACUCAUAGUGCAUCAUCCACAAGGUCCAAAAGAAACAAAAACCAUUGGCUUUUCUAUCCCAAAGAAAAAAGACCCAUUUGCUUUCACUGAGGAAACCGCCUCUAGUUUUUGGGGACGGACAAAAAAGCACACCGUUUCUAAUCCCCUAUAUAAAGAAGCACUCUUUGCUCAUCUACUUCAUCGGACACUUACACAUUCACAUACCAACUGAAGAGUUCAAAAAAAUCAAAGACAGAAAAAUCUAGUAGAUAAGAGAAGAUAAGAGAAAUCAUAAUCACGAUGAGUUCAUCAAGUGCAAGCAAGGCUAUUGUGGCAGCAAGUGUUGGAGUUGUGGAGGCACUGAAGGACCAAGGGAUCUGCAGAUGGAACUCUGCUUUAAGAUCUGUGCACCAACAAGCCAAAACCCAACUCAGGUCAUUUUCUCAUGCCAACAACAAGCUCUCAUCUUCUUCUGCCUCAGCUGCUUUGGGUAAAGUCAGAGAUGAAAAGCUGAAGAAAUCAGAGGAGUCUUUGAGGACAGUCAUGUACUUGAGCUGCUGGGGUCCCAACUAAUUCAAUCAACACAAAAACAAGAGCAAAAAUAUGACAUUUUUGUGCAAGCGGUUGCUGAAAUGGAGCUUGAGCUUGAACAAGGGAUGAAACAAGAUGACAACCCAUGAAGAGCUCCACCAAAUGAGGACAUAGUUAGAUAUUGGCAAUCGUUUUGUGCUUGUAAAUGGCAGACAAUUCACGUCUGCUUGGGGCAAAUUGAUGUAAAUUAUGUCAUAUUAAGACAAUUACCAUAUAAAACAUGUAUGUUUCUGAGAAUUGCUGCCUCGAUCAUUAUUUUGGUCUCUGUUUUUUUGUGUAUAUAUUUUGCCCAUUGUUUAUUUUGUCAUGAGUAGAAGAUUUAUCAACCCUACAGGUCUGAGUUGAAUUUGUUUAAUUUCAAAACAGUAUAUUUGAAGAAGGAAACGUUUUAUGGAAUUAGAAACAUCCCAAUCUGAAACUAGGACAGAAGAUUAGCCAUGAUGGCUCAGCCAAUACAUCUCAUGCUCUAUUGGAAAGGAAAAUACUUACUUCCCUUCCCUCCUACAGGUAAGGAUACAGCUACAGGUAAGGAUACAGGUAAUGAGUCAAAUGAGGCAAGUAGAAUCCUAUUGGAAAUAUGAAUUUAGAAUAUAAUAAUAUCAAUAUAGUAAUGGAUCUCCAAACCCAACUAUUUUCACCAGUAGUUUCCAAGAAGCAUUCUCCUUCUUAAAUAUUUCUUAACUCAAACCAAUUGGAGUGUCUCCAAAAAAAAAAAAAAAAAAGAAGAAGAAGAUAAUUUCCACUAGAAAACAAACAAAAACAAGUGGUCUUUCCUCCCAUACCUGAGGCUUAAAUGGAUUUUAUGAAGGAAAACCGUGUGCUGUGGUCCUACCCAACCCAAUUUUGUCUCCGUCAAUGAAUGUGACAAAUAGUUGACAGGAAAAAAAAUGAACGUGACCAAGUAGCCCAAUCUUGACUCACCGCUGAGGAAAAACCACUGGCUACCCCAGCAAAAACCUCUACAGCUAGAGCUAGCCCAUGGCUUUUUUUUCCCCACAUUUUAUGGGGCUUAGUUUUAGUGUCACUCUCCCUCCAUAUAAAAGCAACACCAACUCCCCAUUUACUUCAUCAAAAUUCAAACACAUCAAAACAUCAGUUUUACUUCCCAUCAAGUUUAAGAGUGUUCUUAUUAAGUUUACAGAAGAAGAUAUCAAUAUGAGCAGUUCAUCAUCACCAGCAGCAAGGAGAGGUUGGGUGGUGGCAGCAAGUGUUGGAGUUGUGGAGGCCUUGAAAGACCAAGGGAUCUGCAGGUGGAAUUAUACUAUGAGAUUAAUGCAGCAGCAUGCAAAGAGCCAACUUGGGUCUUUUUCUCAGGCUAACAAGCUCUCUUCCUCAUCCUCUGCUCUGGUUUCAAGCAAGCUUAGAGAUGAGAAGGUGAAGCAGUCUGAAGAGUCUCUCAGGAAAGUCAUGUACCUCAGCUGCUGGGGACCCAAUUGAUUUCAGCAACUACAUAAUUUGUAGCUGAAGAACAUGAUCAAUACAAUUUGGCACUGAAGGCAGGCUUGGAUUACAAAUUUUCAAGUUUUGAGGCAUGGGAUGAUGAUAGCUGGAAACAUGUGGUUAAGUUGACCAUGGUUGGUGUAGGAUUUGCAGCCUGAAGAAAUUUUGUUUGUUUACAAAAUUAUUGUAAAUUGUAAAUGUCUGAGUUCUCUAUGAUAUAUACAAUUAGUAUGAAAAUUGAUAUGUCAUCUGAUCAUUAGCCCUAACCAUUAAAAUCUAUAUCAUGUAUGGUCUGUUAAGGAAGGGAAGGGGUUUAAAUCAAAUUUUCUAUGCAGAUCCUACCAUUAUUUAGUACCAACUAGUAAAUAAUUUCGUCCAUAGCCAGAGAAAAUAGCGAAUGCAAUAAUGUACAUAGUUAGUAAAUAAAUCCUGAACUAUUUAAUUUUUAUAAAUAAAUUCAAAAAAUAUUUAAACAAUUAUGUUUUGUCGAGUGUUUUGGGUUUUUUUUUUAUGAGGUUUCGGAUUUGGUUUGUUUUAAGAAACAAAGGCAGUUUUGUAAUUUAUAGUAAGUUCAAAGCUUCUUUGUUAUAUUGUAAAUGGGUUUUCGGUGUGUUUCUAAAAUUCAUUUCAUGUAGUUUUUUUUAAUAGUUUGAGCUCCUAUAUUGGACAUAACAAUGAAUCCCCACCUUUUUUUUUUUUUAAUUAACUGGAAUGAUGACAAAUGCUUUAAAAGCAUAUAUUCUGUGGCCUUAAAAGCAUUAUUAUUUUGAAGAAACAAGGUGCGCACAAUGUCUUGUGUACCCCAGCAGAAAAGUUCAAACCAGAAAAUCCACUGGAUUUCCUUGGCUCAAAACCAGCAGCAACUGACGUAGUAGCCUCUGGUUUUUUCCCAAUAUUUUGGCCUUUUCUUUUUCUCAAUCAUGUAUCCAACUCAAGUCACUUAUUAUUUCCUUUCUAUAUAAAGAGACCCUCCAUGCCAAUUAUUUCAACUCAACCUUUCUCAAAAUUUGUUCUCUUGCAAAAGACCUAUCUUAUCAUAAUUUCAAUACAAAUUAAGGGGCUUACAUCCCAAGAAAAAGGAAAAUCAAGAUGAUGAGUGCAGCAACAGCAAGUAGGGCUUGGGUUGUGGCAGCCACAGUUGGAGUUGUGGAAGUGUUGAAAGACCAAGGGUUGUGCAGAUGGAACUAUCCCAUGAGACUGGUGCACCAGCAAGCCAAGAACCAUCUCAGGUCUUUUUCUCAGGCCAAGAAGCUGUCUUCUUCUUCUUCUGCCAUGGCUUCAAGCAUGAUCAUGAGAGAAGAGAAAAUAAAGCAGUCAGAGGAGUCUAUGAGGAAAGUGAUGUAUCUUAACUCUUGGGGUCCCAACUGACACCAACCAAAUUAAGCUUAGCUUAGCUUAAGGCCAUUGUAAAUUACUUUAAGGCAAAUGCUCUUACAAAUUUGGUAAAAUACAUUGGGCACUUAUGUUUUCCAAAUUCAGUUUUUCUUCUUGCUUGACUAAAGUGUUUAAUUUGGCACAGCUUCUUGGCCUUGGCCUAAUCCGAUCAUAAGAACAACACAACUUUAUUACUAAAUUAUUCACCCAAAGGAAAACUGAAACAAACUUUUCCCCAAAAAUUCUGGGCUGAAAAGAACAAAAUAGCCGCUGGUAUGGCCAAAAACCACAACCCCAGUGAAACCACCUCCACUCUCAUCACCCCCUUAGCUCUCUCUCUCUCUCUGCAUAUUUAUGGCUUCAGUUAGAUAGUCUCGAUGCUUAUAUAUGUCUAUCUCAAUACUCUCUCCAACUUACUGUAACAAAUUCUACUUUGUUCUUUAAAUUACUGGUAGUGGCCAUCAUUCAAAAGUUAAAAAAUGAGGUGGAAGAGCAAGGCUUGGGCUGUUUUGGGCACUGUUGUAGCUGUGGAGGAGUUGAAAGAAAAGAAUCUAAGCAAAUGGAGAUCCCUGCAGAGUUACCAACAUGCACUAAUUAACAACAUUGUGCCACUGUCUACACAAGUGGGAAAAUCUUCAUCUACAUCUUCAACAAUGGAGUCAAAGAAGAAAUAUUGCAAGCAGGGGACUCUGAAUCUGAAGCAAUCAGAAGAACCACUUAGACUAAUUAUGUACUUGAGCUGUUGGGGACCCAACUGAGCUGGAAAGAUAUGCUGCAUGCCCCUCCAUGUUUAUGAAAUCAUUACUAAGCAUUAUGUAUGUUUGUGUGUGUAUUUCAAGAUGUACACAUCCUGAUCUAUAAUCUUAUUAUCAUCAUAUCUUUGUAAGAACUUGUUCUAAAAAAAGAGGAAAUAAAAACUCUAUGCUUUUACUCUUAGGCCGUGUUUGGUGGGUUGAAUUAUAUGACAGAAUAUGAUUCAUAAUCUAGUAAAAUGUUUCCUAGACUAAAAACAAUCGAAUUGAAUUAUGUCCAAUCAAUUACUAUCCUGAAAUUAGAGCAUAUAAUUCAGUAGCUACUGUCAUAUGGUAGUGCUCUAAUCUCCAAGCAAUAAGCUCUUGGGUCCAUCAACUUAUUCUAGACUGUGGAACAAGAUACAAGGAACAGAAAGCAACUUUACGCAAAAGCUGUUUGAUUAUACCAUAGCAAGUUAGCAACUGUUGUUAUUGCCCCCAAAUCAAAUGAAAAAUGGUAUAUGUCAUUGUGUACGAAACAUGAUUUCAUUGAUUUGGGAUAUUGGAAAAGAUGAGAUGCCUUUCACAAGAGGGCCACAUGGGAGCAUCAGUGGUGGGUUUUCUGUGUCGUUAUCUUUCAUGGCACCACCAGAACAUGUUCUAAUGCUCUAAACAUCAUAGCCUAUUUUAAUUAUGAUGGCCUUAUGCCAUGCUCUCCUCUUUAAGCCUUUAUCAGAAUAAAAAUACAAGAAAGAAAAAAGGAAUCAUAAGAAGAUUUGAAAGAGAACUUUGAUUUGGUGCAAGUGUUAUCCGAAGCAAUAGUUCUUCCACCAAUGGGUAGCUAUAUUGUUGCUAUCUGUCAUUUUCUUUUGUUGUAAACCACUAUCAAGCUGUUAAUUAUUGUAAACCACUAAUCUACAGGAAGGGAUCCAGGUGAAAGGGGCGAGCUCACUAUUCUGGCCGACUAACCUAAUUCACGUCGAUUUUGUAGAUCUCUUUUAACGUUGAGAAUAAAAAUAUUAAUAGAUUAAGGGUUAAUUAGUCUAAAAUCCCGUAUUAUGUUUUUUUUUUUUUUUUGGGGGUCAAGAUAUAGUGCCAAUAUUUAGCCCAAAAGUUUCAAACUUGAAGCUCUCCUACCAACUGCCAGCCAACAUCAACAGGGAGAAUGAGUAAAAGUAACCACCGCCAAUUCCGACAAUCCAAAAAGUCCAGAGCGAAAGGUCUCAUUCAGCCGCAUAUGGCAUUGGCUAUCAUAAAGACCUUUCACAACCAGAGACACAACUAAAACACGCAUUGCACCAAAGCCUCAAUCUUUCAGCUUCAGCCUUCAAUUCGCACAAAACAAAAUCUCUCUUUUCACUUUUUUUCCAACUAUCUCCGGCGAAACCCAUUUUCCGGCUGCCACCGUGAAGCGAAUUUCCGGCGGGUGGGUCGAGAAUGGCUGUGGAAGCUGAGAAAUCUGGGCCUGAUGGGAAGCUGUGGAGUCUAUUCAAAAAUCCAUUUGGGCAGUCGAGAAAUGCCUCUUCCUCUUCUUCUUCUUCGUCGUCUUCGACCUUGUCUUCUAUGCACAAUGUUCAUCAGCUGGGUCAGACUCAUGAGUCUGUGGAGCGUGCGGCUCUUCAUUCUGCCAGUACGGUGUCGUAUGUGACCAAGUCUUUGCUUCCUGCUAGGAGGAGGCUCCGUCUUGAUCCUGCUAAUAAGCUCUUUUUUCCAUGUACGCCCCUUACCUUGUCUGCUUUAAUCAUCUUUGUUGUUUGUAUAAUGGUUUUGAUUUUGGUCAUCUAUUUCAUUUUCUGAGAAUUUUGAAGGUAAAGAGUGGAACUUUUGUUUCUUUUGGGGUGAGUAAUUAGUUGCAUGAUGUCUGUUUUUGAGCUUACACUGGUUUCAUUUGCCAAAUGGUUAUCUGGGUCUUCGACAUUUAGUACAUAGAGCUGCAUUCUUUGUUCUUUGAUUUGCUUAAGUUGCAUGAUCUUUUGAUUUCAUGAGUUAAAGACUUACAGUUGUUCCAAUUGUUAUGCUGAUCUGGUCGGUUCUUAUUGGUGUCUCUAUUUCUGAUAUUCUCUUUCUUUAGUUUGUUUCUGUUGCAUGAUGCAUCCAUUUGUCCAGUGUGGAGUGGUUUGAUUGAUCCUAAUAUGGGUUGUUCUUACAUUGUUAGCAUCACCCUGGAUUUCUUAUAAGAUGUUCACUCAGAUAAUAUUUGCUAAUCAUUAGAAAAGUGUAAUGCUUGCUCAAUUCCUUUGCCGAUUGAUGAUUCAAGCUAGUUAUGUUUUUCCUCACUCUCUGACUGUUUUCUCUGAAGAUGAACCUGGUAAGCAGGUGAAGAGUGCCAUUGGAAUUAAAAACACAAGCAAGUCUCAUGUAGCUUUCAAGGUAUCGAUUGACUCCUCGAGUCCCCUUUUUUGUUUUCCCCCUUAUUAAGUAUUUUACUUCUUUUACAUAUCAGAAACUAGUCAUAAACCAGUAUUGUGAUCAAAUUGGGACAACAUUUGAAUUGAAAAUUGGGGAUGACAGCAUUAGGAGUUUUCUGGUGUCAAUUUGAUCUGUUACGCUUAUUUCCCAACAGAACCAUCUAACUGCUUACAUGUUGGUUGUUUUUUUUUUGUUUAGUUCCAAACAACUGCACCAAAGAGUUGUUACAUGCGUCCUCCAGGGGGAAUACUUUCUCCGGGUGAAAGUCUUAUUGCAACUGGUAAUUCAUUCUUCAUGGUCUUCCCUCACGCACUCUUAUAGUCAUUUUUGGGUUAUUUUUCAUUUCCAUUUGCAAUAAAUAACAUGCUAGCUAUUUAGAUUUUAGUGAGUUAUCGUCUGAAAAUUGUAACUUGAUUGACAGUCUUCAAGUUUGUGGAACCUCCGGAGACCAAUGAAAAACUAGUAGACCAGAAGAGCAGGGUUAAGUUCAAGAUCAUGAGCUUGAAAGUGAAAGGAGAUAUGGACUACGUACCAGAACUGGUAUAAUUGCAGAUAUUUUGUAUAACUUCUACCGUAUCUUAAUACAUUGCUUUUCCACGAUAAUAGUUUUUUUUUAUUUUUCUAUGUAAAUGGAACCAAUAACUACUGGACUUUUACAUUCCCUCAAAAUAAGCAGAGAUAUUGUAAGUAGAAUUGAGAUAGCAGAACUGAGGUCAUUUUCUCUGUUAUCUGUAGCCUGCUGUGCCAAUAUAAUUAGUAAGUGAACGUUCAGAUGUCAUGUACUUCAUAGCAAAUGUUUGCAGAAAUUCUAAUUGGAACUUUCCUAUAAUUAGAACAUAUAUCUUCUACUCUGAAUCAGGUUGAUCUUACUAUAAAUCUCAUUGAUUCUUGAAAAGUUAUGUAUAUUUUUGUUUCUAUCACAAAUAGAAACCAGUAUGCAUCAUAAUUCCUAGAUAUUAAACAUUAACUGUUACAUGCAUUUAUGCAGUUUGAUGAGCAGAAGGACCAAGUUGUGGUUGAGCAGGUUUUGCGUGUUGUUUUCCUGGAUCCUGAACGCCCUACCCUUGUAAGUAGAUGGUGGAUACAUCUCUAACCUGUCAUUUUCCUGCCCUCUGCAUACUUUUUUUUAUUGUCUUAAUUUGGCCGCAGCAUUUUCACUUUCAAUUUGAUUUUUGUAAAGGCGAUGGAAAAACUUAAGCGGCAAUUGGCUGAGGCUGAGGCUGCCCUCGAAGCACGAAAGAAGCCUCCAGAAGAAACAGGGCCCCGAAUUGUAGGGGAAGGACUUGUCAUAGAUGAAUGGGUGAGGUGUUUGACAUGUUUUUGUUUCUUUUGAUAGAAUGAUGAUAUUGAGCUUUAUACAUUUCUUACUGUAAACAUUCUUACUUGUGGUAUGUAUGGUUUCCUUUGUAGAAAGAGCGCAGGGAAAGGUACCUAGCCCAGCAGCAGGUUGAAGGUGUUGAUUCGGUGUAGAGUUAUGUUCCUUUUUGUUUAGAUCAUUUCUUUCUCUAGUGUGGAAGUUUCUAUAUAUGAUUGAAUUGUCGCCUAUUCAUGUGUGGAAGACCGUUGAGCAAUCUUAAAGGUAAAUGGAAUGGAAGCAUGUUUCGUUGUGGAUAGAUGUUACAUUUUUGUUUCUUGUUUUGUUUAAUUUUUGCUUUGUCCUUUUUAUGAGAAAAAUUAGUCUGAAGUUCUGCUUCAGGUCUCCUAAUGUACUUGUAGAUAGCAUAAAUGACAAUAGUGAUUUUUUACAGAACUUAUAAUCUCUGUUCUAGCUGGCUGUUUUGGCUCACUUCUCUCUUGAGAUAUCCAACACAAACACCUCUCCAUACGGCUAAUUUACUUACCAUAAGUUUUCUUCAUGAAUUUUGUGUUCUUGUAGAAAUGUUUGAUGCAGUUUGGGUUGUUUUCUCACAUAGAAUGGAAUGGGGUUAUUCAAAGUUUUGAGAAGUUCGAUCGCUUAUCAAAUUUCAUCAGGCAUGCAGUAAUCAGGUUUUUUUAACAUUUGCAACUCCAAUAAUGAGAACUCUGAAGAAGUGGCAAGUUGUCAAAGGAACACGGUGAUAGUACUUAAAUUUCAAUAAUUUAAUUGAAUGGUCAAAUAAUAUCGGAUUGAAGUGAUUUUUUGUAGAAAUGAUCUUUGAAUGAAUAUCUACAAAAUAGACGGUUUGGAUUAGUGAAAUACUAUGCAGAGUGGGUCCUACAAGGGUAUUUCUCACAUAAGCUUAUUUGAAAAAUCCCUCAACGGAAGCUCUAUAUAUAUAUAUAUCCCCCUUUUCUUUGGUGAGUAUUACAAUUAUUUGCUCCAUGGAAGUGAUUAUAUGGAUUAUGGGUAAGUAGGCAGGUACAUAACAACUCUGCUGCCAUGCUGGCUUACACUUUACGGAGCAUGAUCUCUGUGUGUGUUUUGUCUGAAAGGAUCCUGAAUCAGAUUACUACAACUAUUAUUUGGUAUUAUUCAGAGUUGACAGCUUCAAACUGAGUUGAGAUGUCAAGAAUCUUGCUCCAUUUCUUAAUUAUGUAGAAUAAUGGAAACUGGAUUGAGAUCUGAGUAUAAUACUUAUUUUAUGGUCCACUAACAAUAAAUUAACAUGUUAACCAAAACUUAUCCAUCAAAUUAUAUGAAGAUAAAUAUUGGGGAACCUUGGCCAGGGCUUUUUAUACUGUGACAUCCAAUGGAAACACCAUUUCUUGGUAGCAGUAUAUUUGCUUAGCUUUUUGUCUGCACGUCUAUGAUCUUUGAGAUAUAAACAAAGAAAGAGAUUUAUAUUUCAGGCAUAAAGAAUAUGUGUGCAGUUACUCUAAUAAAAAAAUAUUAUAUGAUGUUGUGGAGAAUAAAGAGAAGAUCUUAUCAACUACUUUGUCAAUGCAUUGGAAUACAAGCCAAUGACACUGGAUGGAUACAGCUGCCUGUAAUUAUAAAUUAAUUUCCAACUAGGUCUAGUACAAUAGAAAAAUAACUUUAAUUUGCAUCUUAUAAGUCUUAUGUUCGAAUUCUCGUAACGUUUUAAUUGUAUGUAUAAGAAACCUUUAUUUCCUGUAAUUUAGACUGUAACUUGUAUUUAAAAAAAAAUCUCCAACCAAGUCGUAAUCCCACUUUUAUAAUAUAAUUAAUAAAAGAAUUGGAUAAAUACCUGCCUGUCUGUAAUUUCAAAUUAAAAAAGUAACACUAUCUACGCUCUUUAACCCUUUUUUGGAAGAUCUUUAAGUUCCGAUCCUACUGAAAUUUGUUUAUUAAUUCUUGCUAAAGCGUAAAUUAUGAAACCCACAGAGAAUUAAAAAUCCAUAAUCAGCAUUAGUGGAUUCGAGCCUUACUGUUUUGGUAUGCUGCACAUCGCCAUCUCAGAUUCUCAGUGUAAAAUAAAAUCUAUCACGGAAGUUCAAACAUACGAUACCAUAUGGUUUUUUAAUUUUUGUUUUUAGAUUCUCAUUUUUUUGGCUGAAGUCUGAAAGCGAUUAUUAUAAAAGCACUAUUUCUAUAUGUUCCGUUCCAGCUCUUACCCCCACUCUCUCUCUCUCUGAUAAUGACCCGGGCAUACUAUUAUUGCAACUACAAUUAUUAUGUUCAUGAAAGCUGAUAGGUGGGUGGACCUCUCCCUGUGAAGGCGACCCAUUUGCUAUAGUGAUAAGAAUAAACAAAUAUCCAUUGGCCUAUGGAUAUGAGGCAAGUUUACAUUUUGAUCCCCAAUCAUUGUAUGAAAUCAUCCUGGUUUAUACAAUCCUUGCAAAAACCCUAUAUCCAGCAACAACUUACAUUCUGGAAGAGUUUUUUCAAUGGAUCACAAGGGUUAUGUUCUCUUCAUCCUAAUAUAUGUUCUUAUAUUAUUAUUAAGCUCGUAUGUUAGAUUAGAUUUUGAUUUUAAUCUUUCGAUUUCGUAUAUCAUUCACGUAUAAUGUAUUUACGAAUACCCUUAAAAUAGCAUAUCAACGUGAAUAAUAGGCCUAAAUUAAAACCGUAAUCUAACAUCAAGGUUUUAAAAAGAUGAAAAUUUUAUAUAUUUUGUUAUUGACAAGCUUGGAGGAUGAUAUGAUACCCUAUAUUUUGAAACUUGAGAUGACGAUGCCGUACAAAACUGAAUUGGUAUGCUACAUCAGCGUGAUGUACACCGUACAAGGUACAACAAAAACCGUCUUGGAUUCAUAUGAAGAAAUAUGAAUUAUGGAAAUGUUGUCGGCCUAGUUUCAAUCAAAAGAAUAAAAAGGGUAGCCGUUCGAUUCCGUAAUUGCAUCCAAUCUCAUCCGUCGAAAAUGGUAUAAAGCUAAAUACUAGCUAGAAACAAAACAUAAUUAGUUUAUUAUUCAUUUUAAUUUGUAACGCCGAAGACGAAGGAUAAAUAGAAGAAGAGUCCAGAGCCCGCUGCAGGGGACCCCACAGCAGCACGUGAUGCCCAUGCCUGCCCCACCCGAUGGCGCCAAAACGCAUAAAAGAGGCCCAACCCGCUCACGUGUCCCUCUCCCUCCUCCAUAUCAAAUCAUUUUCCCAUCACUAUCGAAAAGACAAAAUUGCCCCUGAGGCGACAACUUACUAUUAUACGACGAUAAGUCGUGGUAGACGACGACGUGUGGGCAGGCCGGCCCCAUGCUGAAGAGGACAUAUGCGUACUAUUCCGAGAGACAGAGAGAGAGAGAGAGAGAGAGAGGAAUUGGAUCCAUGAUGCUGAGUCAUCUGAUUCUGAUGUCCUCUGAGAAUUCGGAUAAGCUCGACACCUGUUCUUGCUCAUUGGCUCUCCUUCUCUUCGUCUCUCUUUUAUAUCGUUGUUUCUCGCGAUAACUCUAGCCCCGUUUUAUCUAUAAUUUGCAGAAUUAUUGUAAGCAAACUUUCUUUGUCAGUCUCCUAUAAUUAAACAUAUCUCAUUACUACUUUUCUCCUAGUCUUUGUUUUGAGCUACUUUAGUCUAAUUGAAGUUGGAAAUAACAGAUUUGUAAUAUCUCGUCAACAUCAAAGAAAGGGAAAUAUAACAACUAGAAAAUUAAAUAAUUUGUAUCAAUUUUUUGGUCAAUAGAAAGUAGAAUUUUAGAGUUAAAAGAUGUGGUUUUGUUAGAAUGGGAAAUACUAUUAGAUCAAUAAUUAAUUAUUAGUUUUAUUUAUAUAUAAAGUAAAAAACAGAUAAUGAUAAAACAUUCAAAAUACCAAAAAAUACUUUUGAUUAAUGCAAACAUUAAUAAUUAAAAUUAUUAAUUAAAUUAGAAUAAUAUGGUAAAUUCACACUUUUUUAUACUAAAAAAUUAAAAUUAAAAAAAAUCAAAUAAUUGAUCCUUUUUUUAUGGAACACAAUUACCUAUUUUUUUUUAAUUCUAAAAUAAAUUUGAUUUUUUUAAAAAAAGAACCUCUCAUAAACGAGGAAACGUGUGGGAAAAAGUUGAUAUAUAAUUGAGUCAUCACAUUUUAAAACUAAAGGUUAAGAUCAAAUUUAUUUAUCUUGAUUUAAUGAUUCAAUCAUUCACUUAUUUUCUAUUUUAUCAAUUAGAAAUGGAGUCAAAUCAAACUUAAAGAAAAUGUUGAAAAAGUGAAAAGAGACAAAUUCACUGACGUAAUUCAAUUUUGAGUAAAUUCAUUAUCUUAUAAAAGAAAAAACACAUUAUCUACUUACACAAUCAAAUUCUCGAGAAAUUGAGGAGAAAAUCAAAUUGCGGAGUUUGGACACAAUAAAACAUCAAAAUUAUCGAUACCUCCAAUCCAAAGAAUUGAGAAAACGCCAAAAGAAGCUGGGCCUCCACGCCCAGCCAGUCACCACUUAUCUAUCAAAACCAUUUCCGCUCUCUGAAAAACCAGUGGUUUUUCAGCAAACCCGGAUUCAUUUCCUUCCAUCUUUCCCUAUAAAUUAACGCCAUUGUCCCCUUAACUCACUCUUACGGACUUCACAAACACCAAAAACAACAGCAAAAGCAAUUACAACCCUUAAUUUCAAUUUCAGUUCCAGAGUUUCAGAGUCUAGCAAUCGAAGAUGAACCAUUUGAACAGAGUUUGGAUGGCGGCGAGCGUGGUCGUGGUGCAGGGCCCUGCCGACCAGGGGCCUAAGUGGACAUCCGGUCUUAAAUCCUUCCAGCUAAGCAGGAGGAGAUGCUUGGGUGGUGCCGGGGACGCUUCGGAUCUCCGCCCAUUGUCCGGCGCAGUCGGGUCGGGUUUCUCCCAAGUUUGUGAGGAGAGACGGAACCAGGCCGACGAGUCUAUCCAAAAAGUCAUGUACUUGAACUGCUGGGGUCAGGGCUGAGGUCGGCGGCGAUUGGAAUUUUCCGGCGCAGAAUGAUUGGAGUUUUUAACUCGGGAGUUGCCGUUUACUCUCGGAGAGGUGUGGUUGGGUUAAAUUGAAACGGGUAACUCCACGAUUGAGUUGACGCGGAUGGAAUCUUUCUUUGUAAAUUGUACAGAAAAUCUUGAAUUGUGGAGAUUUAGAGGAAAACCAUGAAUAAUAGAUGGGACCUUUUAUUUUCAUCUCUUUCUUUUUAUUUUUAUAUUUAAAUUUCAUGAAAGGAACUUUCAAUUGAUCAACAAAAAAAAUUUACAAAACCCAAGUUCAUGUUACAAAUUAAAAUUUACAUAACUGAAUAAAAUGAAUUGACUAAUAUUAAUUGGUGUUUAAUUUAGUUGUGCAAUUAGGUGGUAAAAGUUUUCACAACAUGUAUAAAUGUUGUUGAUUAACCAGAGUUUUCCAUUUAUUAUAUUGUAAAAUAAUAGUCG
rnacentral:lncRNA from 1 species